AAUUGUCAGUGUUUAAGCUAUGACGAACCAGUAACAAUGAAUGGAAAAUCUCAAACGAAUUGGAAUAUGAUGUUUUUGUUUUUUUCUUUCUUUUACGGUUGUUUUCAUUAGUUUGAUAAAGUGGGUUAUUUAUACAUGCUGUAGUGGGUCUAGUAUUAUGUAAGGAUAUACAUGGGCAUGUAGAACAUGAACUGAUGUUGGAAAUCAUGACUCAUGUCAUCUUGAUCAAUUUUGGUUUUGGUUGGUACCUUUGAAGGACAAAGAGAGAAAUGCUUAAAAUUCAAUUUCCGCCUGAUUUAACACUGCUGUAUGUUAUGACAACAUCCAUAUGUAAUUAGACAGGCAAGAGGCAUAUUGUAAAGAAGUAUAACAAUAUUAUAUAGUAGUUGUAUUAGUUUGACCAUGUCUAAGAAAUUGAGGGUCUUUUUAGUAAUCUGUUUUGGUUUGACAUAUGUUUUAUAUUUUGGUUCUUGAGCUCUGUGAUUUGCUUAAAAUUAUUUAUUAAUAAAAAAUUAUUCUGACUUUGCUUAAAAAUUUACUCUUGAGGGUCUUCGAUUCAUCUCUUCACAUUAAUAUAAGAUGCUCCAUUGUUUUCAAUUGCCAACACCCCAUGCUCUAGUAUGAAUUGAUAUAUGUAUAUGUUAGUUUCGAAUAUGUAUAUAUGUACAUGUAUAAUUUAUUGUAUUGAAAUCAAGUAUGAAAUUAUAAUACAGUUUGAUUUUGUCAAGUAUGAGAAAAAACACCAGUCUCUCUCUUGACAUUGAGAUCAGAAGCUUAGUUUCUUCAUUUAAUCUCUCUUUUUUUUUCUUUUUUUUUUUUGUGUUUGCUUUGUUUUAUUGCAGAAACAAGCUAUUUAGUGAGGCAGAAAAAACAGCAGGCCUGGGCAGGUUGCUACUAUCACUAUCUCACACCCUUUCCUUCAAAACAAUCAACCUUAGCGACUUUUCAUUUGAAUUUUGCGUGUUCUUUUAGUAUUAUUUAAAGACAUGUGACAAGUUUGAUCUUGUAUCACAAGGCUAGCAUAGUUAAAUAACUAGUUUAUUAUCUCGUGCAAUAUAUGAGUUUGGUAUCAUACAAUUAUGUAAUAUGUAUUUAUUUUUAUAUGAAAAUGGUCGAAUAUCAUUUUAUCCCUCUAUUAUGCUUACAAGUUACAACUAAACUUUAAUCUUUAUAUCCUUUUAACAAAAUGAUUAAAUUUUAGUUUCUAUACUUUAUUUUUUAACAUAAAUUGGUGCUUAUAUUUUUAUAAUGUUAUUAACUAAAUAAUUAAUUUGUAAUAUACUGUUUUAAUAUAAUGUUAUAAAUAUACUGUUAUAAAUAUACUGUUUUAAUAUAAUGUUUUAAUAUACUGUUACAAAUAUACUGUUAUAAAUACUGCACCUUAAUUUUUAAUGUAAUAUACUGUUAUAAAUACUGCACCUUUAAAAAAAAGAGCCGGGCUGGGCCCGGGCUUCAUAUUUUUUCCACGGGCCGAGCCUGGGAAAAAUUUUAGGCUCAUAUUUCGGGCCGGGCCUGGGCUAAGCCUAGUAAUCAGGUUAAAAUUUUUUUUUGGGCCUAGACUCGAACCCAGCCCGGCCCAUGAGCACCUCUAGUUUGAAUUUUGUUUGAGUUGAACUCGAAUAGCUUACAAACAUUAAUGAUUCAUUUACAAUCCUAUCAACUGAUAACCAAAAAGAUAAAUUUGAAUGAAAAAAUAUUAAUAAUUACGAAGCAAUUUUAUAAUUUUUCAUAGAGGUGAUAAAAAAGAAAGAAAAAAUCAGGGUCACCUCUACGCAAUUCAUCCUUAAAAUUUUAACCUGACCAAACAUUAGUUUAAAUCGUCUGGUUAAAUUUAAUUUUCUUUACUGGUUCAGCCACACUCGCUCAAGCUCGAGCAUUUGUCGAUGGAAAUCAGCUCGAGCUUUUUUCUUCUUUAUAUGACCUCUCACAACAGAUCAUUCCUUCAUUUCUUGCGGCUUAACGCUUCGAUACAAACGAGGCUUCUCUUCUAUUUUCUACUUGUGAGUUCAUGAUUAUAUCUUACUUUGAUUUUGCGUAUAUAUAUAUAAGUUCCUUCAAUAAUGCUGGUUUCUUUUUCUUUAGUUACAUGAGGAAAUUGUCGGUUUUUUCUAUUAUUGUUCUGAGUUCGGAAAACUCGUUAGUGUUUUUGAUAGGUUUCAGCUCAAAAAUUUCUUUUGAUCUGCGUUCUGUACUAGUGAGUACUACUGAAUUACUAAUCGAUGAUCGUAUCUUGGUUUGAUUUUGCAUACUGUUUUCUCUUUAAUUACUUGAGCAAAAUUUCAUUUCUUUUUUCUUUUUGUCAGUUUUAUAUCUGUUGUUUGAAUAUUUUUGUUUUGAAUUGGGAAAACUAGUUAGUUCUUUUUUACUGUUUUCAGUUCAAAGAUUUCUUCUGGUCUGAGUUCUGUACCAAUCAGUGCUAUUGAAUCACUGAUUACUUUGAUUUUGUAGAGUUUCCCUUUUAAUGCAGGUUUCUUUAAUUGCUUGAUCCAAAAUUUCAUUUCUUUUUUGUCAGUUUUAUGUCUGUUGUUUGGAUAUUUUUGUUCUGAAUUGGAAAAGCUAGUUUGUGCUUUUUUACUGUUUUUGGUUCAAUGAUUUCUUCUGAUCUGAAUUCUGUAGGAGUGAGUGCUACUGAAUCACUAAUUUCUUUGAUUUUGUAUGGUUUCCUUUUAAUGCAGGUUUAUGUUGACAGUUUUUACUAACAUUUUAAAAGAUUUUCCUCUCAGCCUCAGCAACAGUUGGCUUUCUGGUAUGGAUAGGGGCAAGAAUAGAAAGGUUAAUAUGUUGGAGGUGGAAAAUGUGAGGUAUGGUGUGAAUCUUUUAAAGAAUCGAGCCUUGAGACAAUUAGAAGCCAUACGGUCUCUUACGAGGGUGCUUCUAGAAGCUAAUGACUUGCCUGAGCAAAUUGAAAAGCUAAAGUCAAGGGAAUCUAAACUCAAAAUUAUAAAGGAAGACAUCAAAAUUAUCCGGAGUUUGCCAGAACCAGAGGCUAGGCAGAAACUGCUCCAAGUAGAAAUGGACUUGGAGGAAUGCAAACAACAACUAUCAGAGGUACGCCAGCAACAAUCAGAGGUACGCCAACAACAAUCAGAGGUACGCCAACUCUUACUAAUCUAAUUACUAAGUUUGAUUUCUUGAUAUAAAUCUCUAAUCUAACUCGGUUUUUCAGGUCCGUGAAAAAACAAAAAAGCUUGAUGGAAUCUUCCUUAAUAAUGAGGUACGCAGAUUUCUUAUCAUUGAUAUCAAGCAACUAAACAUUUCUCAUUUGCAAAUUACAUUAUUAUAAUUACAAUGUCUGUCAUAAUAAACACUUGCUUUUAGACAUAGCAAAAAGCCAUUUUCAGAUACCGGUUUCUGGUUGUGUCCAACACAAGUAUUUUAAACCUUUUUAAGUUUUCUCAAUUUUGGAAGAAGCUUAGGUGGUAUAUGCAUAAUUAUAUUCAAAUAUGUGUCGGUGCAUUACUCAUUUAUAAAUCACAAUAUAAUGUCUUUUCUCAUGCACUAGACUUUUUCUUAGACCUAGCGAAAAGCCCAUUUUCAACUAUGUUAGUUGGAUUUAGAUAUGAGUGUCGGGUGUGGGUACAUGUCUAACACGAAUAAGUUCAACUUUCAAUAAGUUUUUCAUGUAUUUCAAGAAACCUCAAAAGGCCAGUCCAAACAUAUGUCAAACAUGAACACUUAAAAGCAAAAUGAAGAGCUGGAGCCAGUAAAACCUAAUUUUUAGGAAUCUAUCCUUUGGCCGUUUGCAUUGAAAACAAUAUUUCUUAGACUUGCCCUUGUUUACAUUUUUUAAGGAAACAAAAUGCAUAUUUCUUUUCCUCUUUGUUUUUCAAGUCUUAAUGUCUGAAGUCAUUCUUAGACUUGCCCUUGUUUACAUCUUUGAUCAUUUGUUUAUAUUUUUCUUAAAUUUCAGGAAUUCAGCACGGAGACUCUAGAAAAAGAGGUACAUAUAUGUGUGUGUAUAUAUAUAUAUAUAUGAUACUACUCAAAUAGAGAAAUUACGGAAAUGUGUUUUUGUAAUUAAAAUAAGUAAUAUUAUUCGAGAAUAUUUUAAUUUUUUUACUUCAAAAAAACAACAAAAUAUAUGAAUGUGGUUGGAUUUGAUCCUAUGCUAUUAGAAUCAAUAAAAUAUUAAUUUUACCACUAAAUUAAUAAAAAACCAAUAAUAUUUACUCACAAAUUAAUUUACUUUUUUCCAUUUUAAUAUCUACAUGUUUUGUUAUUUAUUGUAUAUUAUUUUUAAACUAACAUUUGUGUUUUAAGUAAGGAGUUUCUACACACAAAGUAUAAAUUUAAUUAUUUCUCAAAUCUAUAAUAUGAAUUUAUAGAAUGGUUGUUUAGUAAUGAAUUUAAAAUUUCAUAUUUCUUUUUUUAUUUUUCAUGUACAUAAUCACACAUUGAAUCUUAGUUGACUUCUACAUAAUCAUAUCUUUGAAAUUUUGAUUUGUUUUCCAUAUUUGCUGUUUUAGCUUUAUUCUGCAGUGCCAUGUAUGAAAGAAGUUGCUGCAACUUAUGAUCAUGCACGUUUGCCAUCUAGUGCAGCAUUACCACCUACUUCUAGUGAUUUGGAUUUCCAAAUUUAUGAGAACGACAAAGGUCUCCAUGGCAUACCAUUGGGGAACACUAUUACCAAUGGAACCCUUCAACAGGGUGGGAGUGAGGCGUCUGAAGCACAAUACAACAAGAACGCACCACCAUUGUCGCACAGUGAUGGGGAGAUGGGGAAAGGUACUGAAAUUAAUAAUGUUUUAUUCCUAUUGAUCAACACUGCAGAAGUUUGCUGAUUCGGGAGAAGUUACAGCGUAAUGUUUAUAAAUUCUCAUAUGUAACUGCUAUGCUGAGUGUUAAUAGCAUGCUUGAAUACCUUCUAAAAUUUUUGUUAUGGGGCAUUCUUAAUUGUUGGACUGGUUACAUAAAUUAUUUUCUGAAAUUCAGUUUUUGAAGGCUAGACAUAGAUCAGCUAUCUUAUACAGCUUCUUACUCUUUAUCUCUAUUAAGAAAAUCAAUAGUUUGUUUCUCUCCUUACCUCCCUGCUUAAAUCACAUUUUCCUUUGGCUUUUGGCUAGCUUGUUUUAGAUUCUCACACUUGCUUGCUUGUCAUUAGGAAAAACUUAGAUUGUUUUAGAUUCAGAAAUUUGAUUUGAGUUAACAUUUUCAGAUCCGUUCAAGAUGGUGGAACCGAAUUGGUCUGCUCACCGCGACAAUGGGGAUAUCAUUAUGAUACCUACACCUGGAGCACCAAAUGGUGCUAAUGGACAACCGUUGCCACCCGAUGAUAUACAAGUGAAUUGCUCAAGCUCGAUGUUGACCGGAGGAAAGAAAAGAAAUCAGAAAGCUAAAGGAAAAGGCAUCAAGAAACAGUGCCGGCCCCAGGUAACCGGUGAAUCAUCAAAUUUGGGACAAGAUAAUUCGGAAGAGCUUAUUUGGGUGAAACCUCAAACCUUGAUAUGUUCAAUUAUUUUUCUAAAUUUUUCAUAUAUUUCGAGAAACGUCAAAUGGUCAUAUUCUAAACCAAUGUUCAAACAUGUAUCGAACACUGACGCUUCAAGCAAAAUGAAGUGUUCAAGUGACAUGGAUUUCAGUAAGAUUAGACCAUAAAACCUAAUGUUUUGGUAUUCUCUCCCAUGGUUGUUUGCAUUGAAAACGAUACUGUGUUACUUUCUAAGCUUUGAAAAUUCUAUAUAUGACUGAAGUUGUAAACUUGGAAAGAAAAAUAUUGCAUCUCUUUCCUGAUUAAUUUGUUCUGUAUCUGUAUAUCUCAUUUUUUUUACAUCUUCAUUGUUUGUUUAUGUUUCUCUUAAAUUUCAGGGAUACAAUGAGGAGACUUCAAAAAACAAGGUAUGGUAUAUGUGUGUAUAUAUGAUAUUGGUAGGUGGUGCACGGUAACAAUUUCUCCGAAUAGCAUUUAAAAACUUGAAUUACGAAAAUAGUGUAAUAUAUAAAUGUAAUUAUUUCUCAAAUCUAUAAUAUGUUUUUAUAUUUUUUAAGUAUAAAAUUGCACAUUGAAUCUCAGUUGAUUUUUACACAAUCAUAUACACAACAUAUGAAAUACGAAACUUCAAAAUUCAUGUUUUGAAAAGGUAGCACUAAUAUUAUCGUAUCUCUGAAAUUUUAACUUGUUUUCCAUUUUUGUUCUCUGAAAUUUUAAGUAUAAUGUCUUUCCUCGUGUACUAGAAUUUUUCUUAGACUUAGCGAAAAGCCAUUUUCAACUAUGUUAAUUGGAUCUAGGUAUGAGGGUAUUUUAAUUUUUUUACUUUAAAAAAACAACAAAAAAUAUGAAUAAAAUAUUAAUUUUACUGCUAAAUCAAUAAAAAUAAUAAUAUUUACUCGCAAUUUAUUUUACUUAUUAUUAUUAUUAUUUAUUGUAUGUUAUUUUUAAACUAACAUUUAUGUUUUAAGUAUGGCGUUUCUACACACUAGUAUAAAUUUAAUUAUUUCUCAAAUCCAUUAUUUGAAUUUAUUGGAUGGUUGUUUAGUAAAUAAUCUAAAAUUUCAUGUUUUUUUCCGAAGUACAUAAUCACACAUUGAAUCUCAGUUGAUUUCUAUAUAAUCAUAUACACAACAAUUUCAUGACAAUUAAUGUAGUAAAUGGAAUUUGAAAUUUUGACUUUUCCAUGUCUGUUGUUUUAGUUUUAUUCUGCAGUGCCAAGUAUGCAAGACGUUGCACCAACUGAUUGUCGUGAAAGUUCGUCAACUUUUGGUGAUAUGGAUAUCCCAAUUUGUGGCAUCGACAAAGGUCCCCAUGGCAUACCAUUGGGGAACACUAUAACUAGUGGAAUGCUUCAACAGGGUGGGAGUGAGGCGUCUGAAGCACAAUACAACACAAACACACCACCAUUGUCGCACAGUGAUAAUCAGAUGAACUUAAUGCUCAGUGGAAGCAACAAAAGAGAUGGGAUUUCAGAAGCUGGAGUACAAGGUACUGAAAUGAAUGAUGUUACUAUUCGUUUGCUGGCUAGGGAGAUGUUGAAGUGUAAUUAUAGUUCCUGGCAAUCUGGACUUUUUAACAAAGACAACAACAGUGUAGAAGUUGCACACUUCCAUGGCUUACAAGAAGCAUUGGACGAAACUCACUAUGGGGAAACACCAGACUACCUCAAACUCACUAAGUUUGGCCAUAAAAAUAUUGAAGUUCUGGUUUGUGCCGCAAUCAAACAGAUGGAAGACUGGCGUACACCUAAGGAUUCCGGCUGUAACCAGUUGAAAAAGUGGGCCGCGACGCUCAAUAUGGGUAAGGAACAGGAUUUUGAAGUGAAAUUUGCUGAUGACAUGUUGAAUAAUAUUUGUCUUGCCUGUUAUGCUUACUCAAUGAUUUAUGGAGAGGAUGGUUCAGUUCAUAAGGUUGCGAGUGGAAGGGUGUGAUGCUCAUAUGGUAUUUGGUAUUUAAACUCGGUGAAUGGUUUGGAUAUUUCAACUCGGUGAAUUAGUAUGGUUAUUUUUCUAUAUUUGGUUUUAGUCUUUGAACUCAGUAAAUCGUUUUAGUAUUUGGUAUUUGAACUCAUAUGUUUUGAUAUUUGGUAUUUUGAACUCAGUUAAAGAACUUGGGGUUUUUAUGGUUAUAUUUCUAUAAUUGGUUUUAUUAUAAGAACUUAGUGAAUGGUUUCGGUAUUCGAAUUCAGUGAGUUUAUAUUGUGUCAGGAAUGUUGUCUUCUAUAUGAAUUUUUGAUGAAUUGGUAUGUUUUAUGUUUGUGUUAUUUCCUUUAUCUGGUUUAGGUUAGAAAAUUUGAAUGGUUGAUUAUAAAAUUUAUCAUGUCCAAGUAUUGAUAGCAUGUUUGAUCUUGGAUUGUAACAUUUGCGUUCUGGCUUUGAUGCUCGUCACCCCACAAUGGGUAAAUAUUUUGUCACAUAAUUUAUGGUGCAGGUGAAGUGUUCAACAAAAUAACAGAAAUUUUAAGUAUAGAGAGUACCAUAAUGCAAUUCAUGGUAUUUGCAUUACAUAAUAUGGAGAGACUUUUGGGGUAAUUGAUAGCUCUAAAAUAUAGCUAAUUCCCCACAUAUGCACUAACAAUUUCUUUCCUCAGCUCAUUGGAUUUUUCUGUCAUUAACCCCAUGGCUCAGUUCCAAUUUCUCAGCUAAUUUCCAUCCUAGUUUCAACUAACUCCUAAACCUCUAUUGCUAUUUGGGGUAAAUGUAUAUCGGUGAUCUUUACUCGAAAAAUGAAUAAAUUAGUCAUUUUUAUAAAAAAAAUUAUUCAUUUCUAUUCUUAAAAACUAACAUAACAGAUGGAAUAAUCACACAAUUACACAUGGCGUGCCAAGUGUACCUCAUACUAACGUAUAAUGACUAAUUUUUAACAAUAAAAAAUGAAUGAAUUUUUUAACAAAAUGACUAAUUUACUCUUUGAUCUAACGUAUAUUGAUUAAUUUACUCAUUUUUUUAGUAAAUGAGACAAAAUACAAUCUAACUCCUAAUACAAAGACCUUCGUCAGAGGUGUAGCCAGAGGACUGUCAGGCUCAGCUUCCCUUCAAAUAGAAAAUUUUUCAUUUAUAUCUUUUAAAUUUUUUAAAAUUUUAAAUUAGUAAAGAUAAAAAUGCACUUUAGUCCUCCUAAAAAUGAUAAAAAUUUGAUAGGCUAUUCAAAUAGUAAAAUUAUUUUUUUACUAUCAUAAAAAUUAAAUUUUAAUUUCAGCCCCUUAACAAAAUUUUUUGCCUUCAACCCUAAUACUUUUACUCUAUUUGAUGUAUUUUUCUUCAACUCAUUUUCACCAUAAAUCCAUAACAAUAUCCUUGUCUCCAAAGAUUGAAGUCUGAAAAUUGAGAUUUUUUAUAAUAUAAUUUAGGUCUUUUAAAGCUUUUAAAAUUUUAAAUUAGUAUAAGUGAAAUUGUACUUUGAUCUCCCCUAAAAAUAAUAACAUUUUAUUUAAUCUUUUAAAAAAUUAUAAAAAUAUAAAUUAUUUAAAGAAUAAAAUUAUAUUUUUUCUAUCAUAAAAAUUAUAAUUUAAUUUCUAUCUUUAAAAGAAUUUCUGACUUGAUCCCUAUUUUCAAUUACGUAUUCAACCACACUACCAAAAGUUGAGUUUACUGCCUGAUUGUUGUUCUUUAAUAUUCGUUUGUCUUGUACGUAAGAAUGAUAAGCAAAUGGUUGCCAAUCAUUUCUCAACCCUGUGACCAUUACUAGAGGUGCUCAUGGGCCGGGCGGCCCGGCUUGGCCCGACGGCCCGCCCGAAAUAUGGUAGGGUUUAGGUAAAAAUAUAGGCCCGAAAUAUGGGCUUGGGCAAAAAAACGAGGCCCGUUUGGAAAACGGGCCGAGCCUCGGGCACAACUUUUUAGGCCCGGGGCCGGCCUGGUCCGGCCCGAUAUAAUAAAUAUAUUUAUUUUUAAAAUUUUUUUUAAUUUUAAAAUUUUUAAAAUUUUUUUAAUUUUAAAAUUUUUUAAUUAUAUAUUUAAUUUUUAAAAUUUUAAAAUAAUUUUUUAGUAUUUUAUUAAAAAAUGGGCCGGGCCGGGCUUAUAAUUUUCUCAAGUCGGGCCUGGGCAAAAUUUUAGGCUCAUAUUUCGAGCUGGGCCCGGGCCUAGGAAUCGGGCUAAAAUUUUUUGUGGGCCCGGCCCAUGAACACCUCUACACAAGACUAACAUGAAACAAUGGAUGAAAGCUGGAAGUUGGACAGAGCAAUUGGUUUAAUGAGUUUUUUUUUUCUUGAACCGAUUUAAUUAACUUUAAAAUGAAAAAAAAAUCAGUUCCUUGUUUUUAAUUAAAAAAAUUACCAAACUGAACUGAUAUUGAAUUAGUCGGUUUUUCCAGUUAAUCAAUCCAAAUUUUUUGAGUUGAGUUUAGUGUUUAUACAGUAAUAUAUUUAAAAACUAAAUAUAUUUUAAAUAUCGAACGACAAACCAAUUAAAUCGAGAUUGAAACCAAUCAACCCGCUCCACCCCACUAAAUUGAAACCGAAAUAAUCGAUUAAUUUUUUUUAUUAAGCCAACUUAACCCGUCAUAAUAUACAAAUUUCGACUCAACUGAAUUAGAGUUAAAGAAUCGAUAUAACCGAAUCAAAUUUAAAUUGAUCAGUUCAGUCGGUUAAUCAACUUAACUUACCAUAAUAUAAAUAUAUUAAAAAUACAUCGUGAAUGUGAAAAUGUAUUUAGUUUUUCAGUGCUUAAAUAAAAUUUUUAAAAUUUUUUUUAGAUUUUUUUUUCUAACAUAAAUGUUUUUAUCAAAAUUGGUUUUAAUUUUUUAAAUUUGGAAGUUUAAUCGAAUUUUUUUAAAUGGUUAACAUUUUUUAAAAUCAAAGCUAUGUUAGAUUUGAACUAAACAUUCUUAUUUUUAUUCGAGAAAUUAUUUUAUGAACUUUUUUCAUCACAUCAUUCAUGGUUCCAUUCAAUUAAAAGAGGACACAUCAUUCUUUUUUCCAUAUCAUAUGUACAUUUGGACUAAACUAGUAGUUAUCCAACUAUAACUUUGUAAAAUUUAUGUUAUUAGUCCUUGUACUUUGUAAAAAUUAUGACUUUAGUCUCUAUGCUUUAAUUUCAUCAAUUUUAAUUCUUGAUUUUUCAAAUGGGUUAGCCCCGUGCUUUUUGAAUUUUGAAAUUAAGUAAACUACACUAAUAGUUAUCCAACUAUUAGUGGUUUUUUUUUUGUCAGACAACUAUAAAAAGUUACAAUAUUGUUAUCUGACUAUUAGUAAGUUUCUUUUUUAUCACAUAAUUAUAAAAAUUUACAAAAUGGUCAUUCACCUAUUCAAUUUUAUCUUUUUUGGUGAUAAUGUUUAAAAUUGACAUAAUAGCAAUUUUAACUCUCAAGAUUUAUACAUUGUGUCAAUUUAGUCUUGAUUUUGAAAAAUCUCACAUUCAACAUUUACUCAUUGUGUAAUUUAGUUAUUUUAUUUUAUUUUAUUUUAUGUAGUUUUGUUGUUCUUUGUAACCCUUUCACCUAAAAAGUUAAAAAAACAAAUUUAUUAACUAAAUAUGUUUGAAAAUAUACAAAAAUAGAAACACCCAAAAGUCUAAGACAAUAAUUUUCAUCUUUUCUCGUACUUUUAAAAUUAAUCUUCAAUAUCACAAAAAAAAAUAACUAUUAUAAAAGGAUAAAAUUGCACAAUGAGUAAACGUUGAGCGUUAAAAUUUUUAAAAGCAAGACUAAAUUGACUUAAUUUAUAAAUGUUAAGAGCUAAAAUUGUCAUGUCAAUUUUAAAAGAUGUCACUGUUAGCUCGCUAGUGAUUAAAAAAGAAAUUUACUAAUAGUUGGGUAAUCAUUAUGCAACUUUUCAUAAUUGAGUGACUAAAAAAGAAAUUUAGUAAUAAUUGGAUAACUAUGAGUGUAAUUUACUCUACUUUAAUUUGAUCAGGUUAGUCCCUAAAAUUUUCAAUUGAUCAAUUUUAAUCUCGGUACUUUUUGAAAUUUGAAAUUUGGGUAAACUACUUUAGUAAUCACCCAACUAUGGUUUUUCUUUUCCCUUUUUUGUCACUCAACUAUGAAAAGUUACAAAAUGAUUACUCAAUUAUUAAAUUUUAUCUUUUUUGUCACCCAGACAUAUUGUAUUUUUGGGUGUUUCUAUUUUUACGUUAGCUAACUGGUAAUGAUGUAAUUGAGCUGAGUCCAAAUACUGUCAAGCUCAACUUGAAAUUCGGAGCUCGAUACACGGCUCAAGCUUGAUUGAACAUCUAUUUUUAAGCUUAAGCUCCGCUUAAGAUAUAAUCGAGCUUCUUGAGCUCGAGCUUGAUUACCAGUUUUCGUACUCAUGCUUGAGCUCGAACUUGAGAUCUGUUCAAUAAUUAAGCUUAAGGUUAAUAAUAUAUAUUAAGGGAAAUAAUAUAUACAUAAUUUAAUAAUAUAAAAAAAUAAAAAGUUCAAUAAGGCUCACGAGUCAUUUGAGUAAAGUAUUAUUAAGCUGAAAUUCUGUUUGAUCAAUAGCUUGAGCUGUUCGAAAAUUACCAAAUCGAGUUUGAAUUUUUUUUGAGUCGAACUCAAGUAGCUUGCUAAUACCAGUUUCUCGUUUACACCCCUACUAACUAGUGACCAAAAAGAUAAAAUUUAAUUGUUGAACGAUUAUUUUGUAACUUUUUAUAGUUGAGCGACCAAAAAUAAAUUACUAAUAGUUAGUUGACAAUUUUAUAAUUUUUCAUAGUUGAGGUAACUAAAAAAGAAAAAAACCAAAAUUGGGUCAACUCUACGUAGUUUAUCCUUAAAAUUUUAAUACCACCAAACAGUAGCUUAAUUGCUUAAAUCGUCUGGUUAAAUUUAUUUCAGUUAUUUAAACUGGUUAAGCCACACUCAUUCUCACUCUAGCAAGCUUGAGUAUUUGUCGAUGAAAACCAGCUAGAGUUUUUUUUUUCUUUCUCUUUAUAAUGAACUCACACCACAAAUGAUGCCUUCAUUUCUUCCGGUUUAACGCUUCGAUACAGGCCGCGCUUCUCUUCUGUUCUCUUCUUGUGAGUUCAUGAUCAUAUCUUACUUUGAUUUUGCAUAUAUAUAUAUAUAUAUAUAUACAGGUUUCCUUUAAUAACGCUGGUUUCUUUUUCUUUAGUUACACGAGGAAAUUUUCGUUUUCAUCUAGUUUUGUAAGUUCCAUAUACGCGUUGACUUUCUCGGUUUUUUACUAUUUUUGUUCUGAGUUCGGAAAACUCUUCAGUGUUUUCUUGAUAGGUUUCAGCUCAAUAAUUUCUUUUGAUCUGAGUUUGAUCUGAGUUCUGUGAUAGUGAGUGCUACUGCAUUACUAGUUCAUGAUUUUACCUUAAUUCUGGUUUCUUUUAAAUUACUUGAGCAAAUUUUCAUUUCAUUUUUUUUUGUCAGUUUUAAAUCUGUUGUUUGAAUAUUUCAAAUAUUUUUUUAGAUUUCUUUUUCAGCAUAAAUGUUUUUAUCUAUUAUUUUUAAAAAUUGGUUUUAAUUUUUUAAAUUUGGGAGUUUAAUCGAUUUUUUUAAAAUGGUUAACAUUUGUCAAAAUCAAAGCUAUAUUAAAUUUGAACUAAACAUUAUUUUUUAUCUAUAUUACCUAUCUAAAACUUAAAAACAAAUGAGGCCAUUCUUUUCUUCGAGAUAUUAUUUUACAAACAUUUUUAACCAAAUCAUUUAUGGUCCCGUCCAAUUAAAAAAGGACAUAUCAUUUUCUUUUCCACAUCAUUUGUACAUCUGGACUAACUAGUAGUUAUCCAAUUAUGACUUUGUAAAAGCUCUGUUAUUAGUCCUUGUACUUUGUAAACAUUAUGAUUUAGUUUCUAUGCUUUAAUUUCAUCAAUUUUAGUUCUCGACUUUUCAAAUGGGUUAGUCCUGUGUUUUUUGAAUUUUGAAAUUAGGUAAACUACACUAGUAGUUAUCCAACUAUUAGUAGUUCUUUUUUGUAGGACAACUAUAAAAACUUACAACAUUGUCACCCGACUAUUAGUAAAUUUCGUUUUUUGAUCACCUAAUUAUGAAAAUUUACAAAAUGGUCAUUCACCUAUUCAAUUUUAUCUUUUUUGGUUACAACGUUUAAAAUUGACAUAAUAGCAAUUUUAACUCUCAAUAUUUAUACAUCGUGUCAAUUUAGUCUUGGUUUUGAAAAAUCUCACAUUCAACGUUUAUUCAUUGUGUAAUUUAGUUUUUUUUAUGUAAUUUUGUUGUUCUUUAUAAACCUUUCACCUAAAUUUUUUUUAAAAAAAUUUAUCAACUAAAUAUGUUUGAAAAUAUACAAAAAUAAAAACACCCAAAAUUUAAAAAUAAUAAUUUUUACCUUUUCUCGUACUUCUAAAAUUAACUAUAAAUCGUACUCUACAUAUUAUGUAAUGCAAAUACCAUGAAUUGCAUUAUGAAUAAUGAAAUUCUAGAAAUCGCACUCUCUAUACCUAAAAUUUUUUCAUUUUGUUGAACAAUUCACCUACACUAUAAAUUCUAUGACAAAAUAUUGACCCAUUGUGCAGGAAAGCAAAUGUUACAAUCCAAGAUCAAACAUGCUAUCCAUGCCCAAUGGAAAUGAAAAAUUUUAUAACCAACCAUUCAAAUUUUCUAACCUAAACCAGAUAAAAGAAAUAACACAAACAUAAAACAUAUCAAUUCAUUAAAAUUCAUAUAAAAGACCAAAUACUAAAAUAUAACCAUAAAAACCCCAAGUUCUUUAACUGAUUUCAAAAUACCAAAUAUCAACACAUAUGAGUUCAAAUACCAAAUACUAAAACGAUUUACUGAGUUCAAAGGCUAAAGCUAAAUAUAGAAAAAUAAUUAUACAAAUUCACGAGUUGAAAUACCCAAUCCAUUCACUGAGUUUAAAUACCAAAUACCAUAUGAGCAUCACACCCUUCCACUCGCAACCUUAUGAACUCAACCAUCCUCUCCAUAAAUCAUUGAGUAAGCAAAACAGGCAAGACAAAUAUUAUUCAACAUGUCAUCAGCAAAUUUCACUUCAAAAUCCUGUUCCUUACCCAUAUUGAGCGUCGCGGCCCACUUUUUCAACUGGUUACAGCCGGAAUCCUUAGGUGUACGCCAGUCUUCCAUCUCUUUGAUUGCGGCACAAACCAGAACUUCAAUAUUUUUAUGGCCAAACUUAGUAGCUUUUCCACGAUCCAAUUCGAUUAGGGUCGCAAUACGUUUGAGGUAGUCUGGUGUUUCCCCAUAGCGAGUUUCGUCCAAUGCUUCUUGUAAGCCAUGGAAGUGUGCAACUUCCACACUGUUGUUGUCUUUGUUAAAAAGUCCGGAUUGCCAGGAACUAUAAUAACACAACAUCUCCCUAGCCAGCAAACUUCCGCGGUCUUGACCAACAGGAAUAGUAACAUCAUUCAUUUCAGUACAUUGUCCUCUGACUUCAUGAUCAUUAGUUGCAGCAAUUUCUUUCAUACAUGGCACCGCAUAAUAAAGCUAAAACAACAAACAUGAAAGACAAGUCAAAUUUUGAGAAAUACAAUAAUAUUAGUGCUAUCUUUUCACUAUUUUUGAAAUUUAAGUUUUCAAAUGCUAUUUGGUUGAAUUGUUACUGUUCACUACCUAUCAUAUAUACACAUAUACCAUAUCUUGUUUUUUAGAGUUCAUGAAAAAAAAAAACCUGAGAUAUACAAAUAUAGAACAAAUUAAUCAAGAAAGAUAUGAAUUUUUUUUCUUUCUAAGUAUAUACCAAGUGUAUAGCUUCAACCAUAUAUAGUAUCUUCAAAGCUUAGAAAAUAACACUGUACAUGUCGUUUUUAAUGCAAAUGACCAUGGGAGAGAAUACAAAACAUUAUAUUUUCUGGUCCGAUCAUAUUGAAAUUUAUGUUAUUCAAACUCUUCAUUUUGCUUGAAAGAUUAGUGGUCGAUACAUGUUUGAACAUUGGUUCAGAAUAAGACUUUUGAGAUUUCUUGUAAUAUAUGAAAAUUUUAGAAAAAUAAUUAAACAAAUCAAAGUUAGAUGUGAUCCCAAAUGCAACACUCGAACCUAAAUAAUGACUUUUUAUUAGGUCUACAAAAGAAAUGUAAUGUAUGAGGAAAGACAUUAUAUUGUGAUGAGAUUUAUAAAUGAGUAAUGUAUCGGCACAAUUUUGAAUAUAAUUACAUGAGAAAAAUUAAAAAAAAAUUAACAUACCUAUAUUGAACUGUAGGAAAUUGAACAAUAUUUGGAGAAAUAAAACAAAGAAAAUGAUAAAGAAUAUAAUAAAAAGAGAAAUAAUUUUUGUAUAUGGAAGAAAUAAAAUUCCUUCUAAUAAACUUUUUAUUUCAAUCACUCUACAAAAAUUCUUCAUCACAUACAACUCUUUAUAUAGGAGUUGUAAGUGACUAUUCAUCUAUAUCACUAAAUGCUAGGAGUUGUGACUAUUCAUUUACAUAACUUAAAUACUAUAAGAGUUAUGACUAUCCAUGCAUGUGUGUAACUUUUCAUAUUCAAGUCUCUUCACUCUUCAUAAUGUGUGUAACUUUUCAUCUUCAAGUCUCUUCACUCUUCAUAUUCAAGUCUCUUCACUCUUCUAACUUUUCAUAAUUUAUUUGUACAAGAUUAAUUUAAUUAUGUGCCAACAAUGCCUCCCUUAAAUUAAACUUGCUUCGAACUCCCAACCUUUCAACAUUUUUCUUGAAGACUUGUCCACUAAGCGGCUUUGUGAAGAUAUCAACCAUCUGAUCUUCUGUCUUGCAAUAUUCAACUUGAAUAUCACCAUUAUUCACUAGUUCCCUCAAGAAGUGAUACCGAAUGCGAAUGUGUUUUGUCCUUCUAUGAAGAACUGGAUCUUUUGUGACCGAAAUAGUAGAACUAUUGUCACAAAACAAAAUCGUUGACUUGCUCUGCUUCUGCUUAAGACUCUCCAAAAUUCCACGUAACCAAAUCAAUUGACAUCCUGCAUAAGAUGCAGCGAUAUAUUCAGCUUCUAUAGUCGAAAGCGCCACAACUGAUUGUUUCUUUGAACUCCAUGAAACUGCACCACUACCAAGGUGAUAAACAUAACCAGAAGUGCUUCUUCUAUCAUCAAUGCUUCCUGCUAAAUCACUAUCCGUAUAACCAAUGAGAUUAACUAAUGUAUUAGCUUUAUAGAAAAUUCCAUAAUCAAUGGUUCCCUUCACAUAUCUCAAUAUUCUCUUGGCAGCCUCCUAGUGAUUGGAGUAAGGUUUCUCUAUGAAUUUACUCACCAAGCUAACAGCAGACACGAUGUCAGGCCUUGUCGAAGUCAGAUACAUCAACUUCCCAACCAAACUUCUGAAUAUGGUGGAAUUGAUAAGCUUUCCUUCACCCUCUUUAGAUAACUUCAGACCUAUAAUGCAUGGAGUAGACACUGGAUUCGCAUUUUCCAUCAUGAACUUUUUAGAACUUCCUUUGCGUAGCUCUCUUGUGAGAUAAAAAUUCAUUUCUCGGAUUGAUGAACUUCAAUGCCUAGAAAAUGAUGAAGUUCUCCCAAAUCUGUCAUCUUAAAUUCUGCCAUCAUUGAGUGUCGAAAUUCUUUCAACAUCUUCACAUGAUUUCCUGUGAAAAUAAGAUCAUCAACGUAGAGACUUACAACCAUGAAUCUUCCUUGAGAAUUUCCUUUGAUGUAGAGAGUAUGCUCAUAUGCAGAUUUCUGGAAUCCACACUUUUGAAAAUAAGAAUCGAUGCGGCUGUACCAAGCUCGGGGUGAUUGCUUCAACCCGUACAAAGCUUUCUUCAACUUGUAAACUUUUUUUUCUUCUCCUUUUUUGACAAACCCUGGUGGUUGAUCAACAUAGACUUCUUCUUUGAGAACACCAUUCAAAAACGCAGAUUUUACGUCCAUUUGGAACAUUUUCCAAUUGUUUUGGGCAGGAAGAGAAAUAAGUAACUGAACUGUCUCAAGUCUUGAAACUGGAGCAAAUACAUCUGUAAAAUCUUCCCCUUCCUUUUGCUUGUAUCCUUUUGCAACCAGUCUUGCCUUGUACUUGUUGAUAGAGCCAUUCAGAUUCAUCUUUGUCUUGUACACCCAUUUGACUCCAAUUGAAUUCUUGUGCGGCGGUAAAUCUGUGAGUUCCCGUGUAUCAUUGUUUUCAAUUGAGCAAAUCUCUUCUUUCAUGGCUUUCCUUCAUAUUUCUUCUUGAUAUGCACCAUCAAAAGAAAUUGGAUCUUCUCUUACAAAGAAAGCAAAGAAUACAUCAUUUUGCACAACUUCAUCCGUUACAUCAUAUAACUCUUGGAUGAAGAAGAAUUUGAUGAAGAACUUGAGGAAGCAGGAGGAUUUCCUACUUGAGCAUCAUCUUCAGCAUUCUCAAUUACUUCCUCUUCUUCUUCUUCAAGUUUAAAAGGAAAAAUUGGCAAAUUUUCCUUUUCAACUUCCAUAUCUUCAAACAUGGAAUUUUCAUCAAACUGAACAUCUCGGCUUAUCACAAUCUUCUUUGUCACCGGAUUGUACAACUUGUAUGCCUUACUUCUUUCACUAUAGCCAAUGAAAAUGCAUUUCUCUGACUUGUCAUCCAACUUGCUUCUCAUUGCAUCUGGAAUAUGAGAGUAAGCAACACUCCCAAAUACUCUAAGAUGACUAACACUAGGCUUUAUACCAUACCACGCCUCAUGUGGUGUGCAAUUCUCCAAGCUUCUUGUCGGUGAUCUGUUUAUAAGAUAAACUGCACAGGAAACAGCUUCAGCCUAAAAUCUUCUUGAUAACCUCUUCUUCUUAAGAAGACACCUAGCCAUUUCUAUAAUUGUUCUGUUCUUGCUUUCACACACACCAUUUUGCUGAGGUGUGUGGCGGACUGUCAUUUCAUGCCGGAUGCCACUAUCUCGGCAAUAUUUCUCAAAUUCUUUUGAAAAAUAUUCACCUCCACGAUCUGUCCGUAAGGUGUUAAUUUUCAGCCCAGUAAAGUUCUCCACUUCUGCCUUGAAAUCUUUGAAUCUCUGAAAAGCCUCUGAUUUUUCUUUGACACAAUACACCCAUAACUUUCUUGAGUAAUCAUCAAUGAAAGAGAUAAAGUAACGAUUACCUCCCAAAGAUGAAACUGUCAUUGGACCACAAAGAUCCGAGUGAAUAAGUUGCAAUGGUCUUCUUGCUUUCCACGAGGAUUGAGAAGGAAAAGCAAUUUUGUGUUGUAUUCCAAGUUGACAUGCUUCACAAACAUUAUCAAGCCGAUCGAUUUUUGGUAAACCUCUGACCAUCAUCUUCCUUGAAAGCAUCUCCAAAUUUCCAUAGUUCAAAUAUCCAUAUCUAUCAUGCCAUAACUUUGAAAUUCCUUUAUGAGCACCAAUAAAGCAAGACAUAUUCUGAUUUUGAAGGGUGAGAGAGAAAAGAUUAUUUGAUGCCACUCCAACUCUAGUAACAACCUAAUUUUUCUUUGACAAAUGGCAAGCCAUGUCACGGAAAUGAAUAUCAUACCCCUUCUUCAAGAGAUACCCAACACUAAGCAGAUUAUUUUUAAGACCAGGAACAAAAUAAACUUCAGACAUUUUCUCUACCAUUCCUUGCUUUGUUUUGAACUCCAACUCACCAACACCGCUAACUUUGUAAGCUUUGCCAUCUCCUACUUUUACUUCUCCACAAUCAGAUUCAAAUAACUUCGAAAAUAAAUUUUUGUUACCUAUCAUAUGCUUGCUAGCACCACUGUCUAUGUACCAGACAUCAUCAAUCUCUCCACCAUGAGAUACGAGUAGCAAAGUUUCUUGCUUUUGCUCUUGAUUAUUUUGUACUAUAUUAGCUUCAUUUUUUUCUUCUUUCUUGUACCAGCAUUCACUUGUCAAAUGACCAGGUUUGCGACAAUGAUAACAUUCAAAAUAGCCACGACCUCUUUCUCUUUGAUUUCCACGUCCAUGUCCUCUUUGUGAUCCUCUAACAUUUUGACUUUGGUUGGCUUCUUUCCAUCCAUUUUCCGUGCUUGCAUCUUCACCUCUUUCACGAGCAUUUGAGCCUCUUCCUCUAAAAUUUCUUCCUCUUCCAUGACCACGAUCUCUCCCUCUUUGAUUUUUAAAAUCUCCCUUCUUCUCAUUUAGAGACAACUUUGACUGGAGUGCUUGAUCUAGAUCUACUUCCUUUUUCUUCUUGUUUAAUCUUUCUUCAUGGGCUUGCAACGAACCUGUGAGUUCAUCAAUAGUCAUGGUACUCAAGUCCUUUGAUUCUUCAAUGGCUACCACAAUGUAGUCAAAUCUGGAAUCUAAAGAACGGAGGAUUUUCUCAACACCACGAAUAUCAUCCAUAGUUUCACCAUUUCUUUUUAAUUGGUUGACUAUGGACAAAACCCAUGAACAGUAAUCAGAAACUGAUUCUGACUCUGUUUUUUGCAAUCUUUCAAACUCCCCUCGAAGAGUUUGCAACCGAACUCUUUUCACCUUUUCAUCUCCUUUGAAUGAAUUUUGUAAAAAUUCCCAUGCUUGUUUUGCCGUGGUGGCACAAGCUAUUUUUUCCCAAGUCGCCAUAUGAUUGAACUCCUUGAUAUAUCCAAAAUAAGGCUUGCUGAUUUUUCUUCCUUGAUUUUCUUAGACUCUCUUUUUGAACUUGUGUUAAUCCUUCCUCCACUUCAGCCUCAACUUCAUUAUAACAUUUUUCAACAAUCUCCCAAACUUCUAGAGAUCCAAGAAGAGCCUUCAUUUGGAUACUCCAUUUGCCAUAAUUUUCUUUGGUUAAUUGGGGAACGGAAGAAAGAGGAAUAGAAUUGUUCAUUUCGAUCGAACAAGGCUCUGAUAUCAAUUUGUAGAAAAUUGAACAAUAUUUGGAGAAAUAAAACAAAGAAAAUGAUAAAGAAUAUAAUGAAAAGAGAAAUAAUUUUUGUAUAUGAAGAAAUAAAAUUCCUUCUAAUAAACUUUUUAUUUCAAUCACUCUACAAAAAUUCUUCAUCACAUACAACUCUUUAUAUAGGAGUUGUAAGUGACUAUUCAUCUAUAUCACUAAAUGCUAGGAGUUGUGACUAAUCAUUUAUAUAUCUUAAAUACUAUAAGAGUUAUGACUAUCCAUGCAUGUGUGUAACUUUUCAAAUUCAAGUCUCUUCACUCUUCAUAAUGUGUAUAACUUUUCAUCUUAAGUCUCUUCACUCUUCAUAUUCAAGUCUCUUCACUCUUCUAACUUUUCAUAAUUUAUUUGUACAAGAUUAAUUUAAUUAUGUGCCAACAUGAACAUGAAUCCGUAUCUAACACUUAAACCCAAAUCCAAAUGAAAUAGUUUAUGGCUUUUUUAUGUCCAAAAACAACUCUAGUGCACGAGGACGGACAUAAUAAUAAUGUGAUGAUUUGUAAAUGGUAAAUGUUCCAAGAAAUAAUGAUGCUGUUACUGUACAUACUAUAUUAUUAACGAACAUCCCAUCAGGUUGUUUACUUUGUUCAACUCAAGAAAAACCAAGUUAAAUUGGACAUUUACUCAGUAAUUAGAUUUGUAAACAUUAGCGCACCUGUAGUUGUUUAUCUAUAUGAUUUAGCUCCUUUUUUACUUCGAGCAAUUUCUCCUUUGCGUCAACUUCCUUUAAAAGGCCUGCCUUGAACUCGGCCAGUAUUUUCUUCAUAUUCUCCUUUAUUUCUUGGAGAUAAGGUAGCAGUGGCCAUUUCUCUUCGAUUUGCCUGACAGUUGCUGAAACUUCUGGAUAGUUAGGUAGCUGAUCCCAAUGUUUUUCCUUCACCUUCAUGUCACCAAAUAAGUAGUACAAAACAAGUGUGAUAAGGAACAGAUAGAAAAAAUCUUUCUCCUGGUUUUUUGCUCCAGUGAGAAUGUAAGAUUUAUUAUCUAUAUAUAAUAAAAAUAACAAAAAUGUAAAUUGAAUAUGAAUGGCUAGGUUGAAUUAAGAGAAUUUACUCUAGUCAUCCUUCUAUUGAUUUGGUCAUUUAAGGUUUUCCCACUUUGCUCUACAGAUUUCACCAUAAUAAGCACUUCCAAACUCUCUUCUCCUACAUUUGGUGAUUCACGGUUUAGCUGGAGCUGGCUCGGUAUGCCUUCUCCUAUAGCUUCCCGAUUUCUUUUCUUUCGUCCAGUCAACAUUGAUCUUGACGGAUUUACCUGAUUAUUAUCUGGUGAUGCAUUAUUUGAUGCUCCAGGUGUAGGUGACAUAGCGAUAUUCAGAUGCCUGCUGUUCAUAAUAUUUCAACUCAUAUCAAAUUUCUGAAUCUAAAACAAUCAAAGUUUUUGCUAAUUCAGAACAAAAAUAGAAACAAGCAAGCAAGUGAAUCGAAGUUUUCUUUCAAAGAAAGGAAAUGAAAAUCAUAAACUAACAAAACUUACAAUAAUAAAUAUGAAAUUAUAGGUUCAGCAAAAACCAAAGCAAAUAAAUGUACGGAAACUGAGGAAAAAUGAAUGAAUUAAAUUGGUAUAGCAACUUACUGCGCCUUCGAUGCUGCUGUGCUCAUAUGCUGUUGUUUUCGGUCUCUAAGCUUGUUGUUAAGUCUUCAGUGAUGUAAUUUGGAUUACUUAUCUUCAGUGAUGUAAUUUGGAUUACUUAUCUAAAUAAAAUUACGUUUUUACCCUUACAUAUAAAAAGAAGUUUCUGUAUACAUGAAGGGUUUAAAAUGUAAGUUUAUACCACAAAGAGGAACUUGAGCAGUGAAGCGUAAAGUAUUGGAAACAUAAAGGUGAAAUUACACUUUAAUCUCUUUAAAAAUAUACAAAUUUAAUUUAAUUUUAAAAAUUAUAAAUAUAUAAAUUAUGAUAAAAUUGUAUUUGUAUUAUCGUGCAAAUUACAAUUUAAUUUCGAAUUCUUAAAGGAAAUUUUGGUUUCUGGUUUAACCCUAAAGCUUUUUAUUACGUAUUACGUAUUAAUAAUUUCCCUUCAAUGCAGGUUUCUUUAAUUACUUGAGCAAAAUUUUAUUUCUUGUUUGAAUUUUGGUGUGGCUGGCUUGCUUGUUAGUUAGUGUUUUUGAUUGUUUUACAUUUCCCUUUAUCCGUUCAAGAUGAACUACGUUGACAUUCGAAGCAGAGUAGGUGCGAACCAACCGCGGUUGCUAGCUGACGUCAUCGAGCUUGAUAUCUAUCACAGGCCCUAAUAGAGAGGUUAAUAUAUGGGAGGUGAAAAAUGUGAGGCAUGGUGUAUAUCUUGAUCAUUGAUAUUAAGCAACAAAACAUUUCUCAUUCUUAAGCUUUCCCUAUAUCUUGAUCGUUUGUUCAUGUUUCUCUUACAUUUUAGAAAUUCAGUACGGAGACUCUAAAAAAAAGUACAUAUUUGUGUAUAUAUAAAAAUAUAUGAUACUACUUUUCUUAUCUUUGUGAUGUAUAAGCUUAGUGUACAAUUUAAUUAUGAUCCUAAUAGGUAUGAACAUCAAACAAAAUUUGAAUAGAAUAAUAACUUAUUUAAUAAGUAAUUUAAAUAAUUUAAGGGUAAACUAUCAAAAUAGUCACUUAUGUUUGAAAUGUUACAUUUUAGUCACUUGCGUUAUGGUGUGGUAACAUUUUAGUCACUGAGCGUUAAUUGUCGUUAACGGUGUAACGUAAGUUGACUUGGCACGUUAAAUCAUCAUUUCAAACUAAAAUUUUAGGUUAAAUUAUCAAUUGGACCUUAUACUUUUUUUUGUUUUGAGCAAUUUUUUUUUUCUUUUACGUUAAAAGAGAUGAAGAAGGGAGGAAAAUAAAGGGAGAAGUAGAAUAGAAUGGAGAAUAAAUAAUAAAAAAAGUUAAAAGAACAUAAAAGAAAAAAAUAAAUUGCUCAAAAAGAAGAUUAUUUUGAUUAUUUUGUAAUUUGUGUUGAGAGAGGCUAAUUUGCUCACUUUCAAAGUUGUCAGGGACCAAAGGGAAUUACACCAAUCUAUUAUUUGAAUGAUUCGAAUUAUGAAAUUCAACUCGACUCAAACUCGAAACUCAAGUUAAAAAACAUUUAAAAAAAUUAAAUUGCUCAAAACUAAAAAAUAUGGGGAUCAAUUGUAUAAUUUAAUUUAAAAUUUUUGUUUGAACUAACAAUUUAAUGUGCCACGUCAACUUACCGUUACACCAUUAGCGAUAAUUAAUAGCCCAGUAACUAAAAUACUACAACGUGAUAACGUACAAAAGUGACUAUUUUAAUAGUUUAUUUUUUUUCUUAUUAAACAUUGAAAUAUAUUUGGGCUAAUGUCUUAUUAUCUAAUUAAAACCCAAAUAUGGCUCAGACCAAAGCACAUAAACCGUCAGCCCAUACAAGUGUGCCCAUAAACCCUAGCUUCUUCCUCUUCUCUUUUCCUCAGCCGCACAGCUUAAUUUUUUAUUCUUUUCCUGUGCUUUUCUUUUGAUCGGCCACCACCACUUCUUCUUCAAAAGCCAAUAGCGGUGUCCUUAUCGGCAUCGUGUCGAAACUGGUGUGGCCGCCGUUCAGGCGAGUACGAGCAUCAUAGAAUUAUAGUCGAAGUCAAGGUUAGCAAUAAUCGUAUCAUUUUCAUGUCUGUCUUUUAGUUUAUUAUAAACACAUAUCAUGUCGAAAGGAAUGAAAAUAGUGGUAUAAAAUUUUGUACAGAUAGCUGAAAAGUGAAAAAAUGAACAAGAAGGAGAUAUUAAAGUUGGCCAAGGGAUUCAGGGGAAGGGCAAAGAACUGUAUACGGAUAGCAAGAGAACGGGUUGAGAAGGCCUUGCAGUAUUCCUAUAGAGAUCGCAGAAACAAGAAGCGUGACAUGCGUUCUUUAUGGAUUCAACGCAUCAAUGCUGGCACUCGUCAACAUGGGGUAAUCUCUCUUUUCCUCCCCUUGGCCGUUUUGAAUCUGAAAUUUCUAUUUGCUUACCGUAUUCCUCCUCUAAUUCAAACUUUCUUGAUGUUGCUAUUCCUUCAUUUUUUGAAUCAUCUUUUGUAAUGUCCUUCUGAAUCUUGUUAUGGUUUUGAUUUUAUUAGCUUUACUGAAAGAUAACUGAUAUAGGUUGUGACUUGUAGAUGCCAUUUUUGCACACCAACUAGUUAGUUCUUAUCAAUGAAUUAAAAACCGGAUUAGAGUUCAAACAACAAGUUAAACGGGAUUAUGCAAUUAAAAUAUAAGUUAAAUGUUAAUAAGAAUAUGUAUUUGGCUUAAUGAUAUGCUUUUUAAUAUAUCAUCUUGAGUUUAAAAGUUCAAAUCUUGAAAGAGAUUGGUUUUUUACCUGUCUUUUCCCGGUUCAUUGCUUCCUCAAUUCUUGGGGAUGUACCAGACCAGACAGGCCACCAGUUCCGGGUUUAAUUGAUCAGUCUGGUUUUUUCUUCACAUGGCAUGUGUGAUUUUUGCUUUUUCUUAUAGAUUCUAACAUCUUGAUCCAUUGUUUGAAGUUCACAAAGCUAGGAAUGGAAUUGAGCAUACUAUAUUGUAUUUAUAUCAUGUAACAGAAUGCAUAAAUAAGUGUUUUUUUUUUUCUUUUGGUGCCUAUGGUUUGGUGACAAUAAAAACACCAUGAUUAAUCAUAUAGGAUCAAAAUCUUAUAUAGUCAGUGUUCAAGUAGUUUACACAAGAAACCUGCAUUUGAUCGUUAAAGGAAUUCUAGUAGGUUGAGUUAAUAUUUUAUGAUUGUCAAUAAAGAUAUCUAAGCAUUUCAUUUAACAUAAUCUUUUGGAAUCUCUAUACUACCUUUUGGAGGUCUGUUAUAUCAAAAGAGGCCAGCAAUUGAAUUUUAUUAUUUAACCAUUUUUCUUUCCUCUCAUUGAUCAUUAUAAUAUUUGAAAACAAGAAAUAAGGUUCCCCUGACCAAGACAUAGUAGACCUUUUUGUAUAUAAUACAACUGCGGAAAUAAGUUUGUAUUGGUGAAAUGAAUUUGGAAGUAAUCGCAACAACUCAGCUUAACUCUAGUUGUUUGGGGGUGUAGGGUUUGCGUAAAGAUAAUAGAUAGAUUAAUGCUUAUUAUGAUCAUAGAUUUGGUCUUCUUGUUUUUCUCAUGUUUGCCAUCUGGAAAAGACUGGAAAAGAAAAAGAGAAAUGAGUAAGUAAUAAUGAUUUCAUGAAUGGUUUUUUAAUUAUCACAUCUCCUUUCACACAUGCAAGUUAUAUUCUCUCCAAAAGUUUCGCUCGCUUAAUAUCAGCCAUAAUUACCUUUAUUUUUUAAUAUUCUUCCAUGGAUGCACUUGCUUCAUUUCAUCCAAUAUGCUCUCAUGAGAUUUCUUGGAUUAUUAAACUUUUGUUUUCUUGGAGUCUAAAUAUACCCCUCAUAAACUGCGUGUGGAAAGCUAAAACCAUUUACCAAUACUAGGCCAGCUUUAUUGUUGGUUUAUUUUCUGAUUAUCUAUUGAAUUUGAAGUUCCUUAUUUUGCUUGCCUUGCAUGAAUAGUGUGCUAUAUUUUGGGGGUAUGAGCUUGCUGCUGUAAGCAUGAUUGUUGGGCACCUUGGCCUGAUGUGUCAUUCAAAUGAUGCCUAUGCAUGUACUGCCUUGGUUGUUGACUAUGGACAUGUGCUGCUGAGUACAAUGCCCUUUUAUACCUGUUUCUUUGUUGUCACUCACGCUCAACCGUAUAUAAGUCAAAUUUAUAAGCCCAUAACUUUAUAGUAUAGAAAACUUAACCACAAAAUGCUACUCCUGCUCUUCACUUUUCCUAAAUUACCUUUUUCUGACACGUAGUCAGACAUUGUUCUUGGGGUAUGAUCCUUCAAAUGUGGGGAAUUUUUUAAAAAGAUUGUGCAUACCGGUAUCGAAUACAUACUUCUACCUGACCUCGCCUCCAAGCCCAGUAACAUAGACCAGAACUUUAUUUCUCUAUGGUACAUAAAUCUGUCAUUGCUGGAGUGUCAAGUCUUAACAUAUUAUUUGAUCUAUGAAGUUUUUUUUAAUAUCAGUAUGUAGUUAUUUUUUUGGGAUACUUUCAACCAUAAUUAUAAUUGUAUCCAAUGUGUUAUCUUUCUCUUAACAAAUACCAAAUUGAGUGCAUGAAUGCUAUACUUUUUUCUCACGUUUUAGUACAUGAGUUAGGAAUAAACUAAUUACAAUUGGUAAAUUUUAACUGCUCACAUGCAUUAAUGCUUUGGUUUUUUUUUUUUUUGUGAUUUGCUUUUGUUUACAGGUAAACUAUGGUAACUUCAUGCAUGGACUGAUGAAAGAGAACAUACAAUUGAACAGGAAAGUACUGUCUGAAAUAUCUAUGCAUGAACCAUACAGUUUUAAGGCUCUCGUAGACAUUUCCCGGAAUGCCUUCCCUGGAAAUAAAAAUGUUGUGCUCCCUACAAGAAAAGCAGAUAUUUCAAUCAAUGUAUAAUUACUUGUGUUUGGUGUCUUUAGUAAUGACUCUUUCUUUAACACUUAAUGUCAACUGAACAUUUUGGGAAAUAAGAGAGGAUUAUUGCUUUUCCUGAGUUGUUUCUUCUGCUUCUCUGUUUUCUUGUUUAAUCAUUUCGAAACGGGUUUUUCAUAUAUUCAAAGAAGGGUCAUGUUUGAAUGUGUCGGAUACUAAUGUUAGACAAAAUCGAAGUUUAUUGGGAAAAUUUUGACAAGAAACCUACUUUUCAGCAGCAUGAUAAAAAGUAUAUGAAUAAGUGCAGUUGAGGGAGAUAAAAAGGACAUCUGCAUCCUGAUUUUUAUAGUUUAAAUUCUUUGCCUCAUUGAUAUUUUGAGUACACAGAUGCCAUUUCUUACAUCCCUAGACAUUGUGGAUAUGUUACAUGAUGCUAUGCAAUCAGACUAUUAUCUAAUCUAACUGAUAUUUUUUGUGAGUGAGGUCUUCACCUAAACUUCUCUUUUAACCAUUGGUGUGGAUUCAAUUGAGGUUUAUGUUUACAUAUUAAAUUAUUUGAAUUACAUUAUAUAGUUCUAAUUAAUAUUGUCAAAGAUCUUUCGUUAAAUUAGAUGAUGUGAUUUUUUUUAAUCAAAAAAAAUUGUUCACGUGAUCAAUAUUAUAAGCAUGGAAGGUCAAGCAAAAAAAAUGUUAAGUUGGUGUCAUAAGGUUUUCGACUGAGUGUUGGAAGAUUUUUCAGCACUAUUACAAAGAAGUGAAGGUAGAUACAUUAUCCUUGCUUACAUGGUUUUUACGUAGCUUUAAAUUGGCCACAUGAACAACUUUUAUUUUGAAAACGAUAUAUAAUCCAAUUUAACAUAAGUUUUUUGACAGUUUUUUCAGUUGUUAAAUAAUAUAUAUAUAUAUAUAUAUAUAUAGACUGAAAUGAGGAACUCAAUUUCAAAAGUCUACUCUCUGUAUACGAAAUCAAGGAUGUAUCUAGAGAAAGAAAGCUAACGUUUGCUAGCAAAUACUUAAAAAGAACAAUGAAAGUUCUUUAGUAAGCUUAAGAAAGGUAAAGAUUUUAGCCACACCAAUUUGAUUUCAAUUUUUAAUAAUUCAUACAGGUAAACUAUAUGAUAAAGCAUCGGAUAAAUACUUUUAUUAGACUUAAAAACCAAAUGCAUAAAGUAAGUAGUUUUCUUCUAAUUUAAAUUUAAAAAGUAAAAAAAUUAACAUUGUUGAGUAUUUUCUAUAUGUCCUUCAAAUGUGGUCUACCUAUUUAUACGAUAGGAUACUGUUCAUCGAUAGAUAGACUCUAUGCACGUAAGACAUGUUCCCUAUUCUAGCCUAAACAUGCGUCUUCAUGGUUCCGAGCUCAUGCAAAUGCAGCUUCGCAAUAUUGAACCUUGUAAUUUAGAGACCAAGUCUGAUUGGUCAACUUGCGUACUUACCUUGCGAGCUUAGUACUUGGAUCAAGCCUACGAACUCAUUAGGGUUUGACCCAGGCACAAACUUGAGAAGGGUGUGGGCCAAUAAUGAUAAUUAUCCUAACAAUUCUUAAUCUAACAAAUAAAGUUUUUGAAUGGAUGAUAUACAUGAGCUAUGAUGAACUUCCAUGUUGGCUACUAUCUAUUAGUGGAUUUGAUUGGGUUUGCUCUACUCAUUCCUGAUGUGCAAGUUUUGCAGUCUCAAUCUCUGAAGUUUGCUACCGUAGAUGUUGUGAUAUUAAUUGCCAUUUGCCAUUCUAUUUGGGGGACAUCAGCAGUAUUAAAGCAAAGAACUGGUUACUGUUAAAUUUUCCCUCUAGCCUGCACAAAAGUUGGUUCCAAGUUCUUAGCUCUCUUCCUUUUCAAAAGGAAUCAUUGAAUAAUAACUAGACUCUCAGCUGUCUAUUGGAAAUUGAUUAAAAAAAAAAUACCAAUCUAGUGAAAAAUUUGAGACUUCCCAUAUCUAGUAUCAGUGAGAGCAGAAUGUAUUCAGUAUUACAGUGGAUAAAGCUACCAUAAAGUCAGGUCCCACAUCGCACCGGAAAAGCAAGCAGCAGCUUCUCCUCGUAUUUAUAAAGCAACUUGUAGAUUGAUUGCAUUUCACGGAGCCGUGUGAUGAGCACAGAGCGAACUAUUCUUUCGCCUUUUACUAAAGAAUACCGUGUGCUCGUCACUAUAAGCGGCAUACGCCAAUUUUUGGAAGGGUAUUCCUAGUUGAAUGCCCCCAUUCCAGUACUAGUGCUAAAGGUUUCUUUAUUCUAGGAACAAGCUUGUGCCCUUUAGAUAUGUUUUGGUACUAAAUAAAAUGUUGAGAAGCUUUUAAGUUAACAAGCGAAUAUCUGAAGUGUACUUCCCGAAGAUGUCUUUUGUCAUCUCUCCCUGUCCUCGUCUGUAAUUCUUUAUAUCUACAUUGUUAAAGCCAACUCAAGGAACAACCAUUUUUUUAUAAUGCCACUGUCAUGUUAUUGAUUGGGAAAGAAAGGUGUAGGAAGUGUUGGGUGAGUGAAUAAACAAUGUGCCAAAGUAUUAAUAAGAAAGGAUACGAGAUUCCCACUUUGGAGCUUCUCCCUGGAUAGGGCGGACUCCCUGCUCUUCGCGCAUCAAAUUUACUUUUACCAGCAAUGAAUUCCAUCAUUCUUCAUCAUCACUACAUCAAAGCAGUAAGUGUUGUUUCAGUUCACUUUCUGUACACUUCUUGCUUUGAUUUUUGCUAAAUUUAGAAUUUCAUAUCCGUUUUCUUUAAUUACUUGAGUUUUGUUAGUUGAUAAUUUUGUUUGAAAAGAACAUUUCAAGAAUUAGUAAAUGGAUCUUCAUAUAUUUGUUUGUGAAUUUUGUUAAUUGGCUUAAUCUUCUUUGUUCAUUGUUAAGAACCCCCUCCACGCUUGUUCCUCUGUUUUUGUACGUAAUGAUGAGUUAAUUUCCUUAUUUUGUUCUUAUACUAUUCAUAAUUUCUCAUGUGUUAAUAGCAUGCUUGGAUACCUUCUAAUGUUUUGUUAUUGGGGCAUCCUUAAUUGUUGGACUGGUUGCAUAUUUUUGAAGGUUAGACAUAGAGCUGCUAAUCUUAUACAGCCUCUCACUCAUCUCUUUUAAGAAAAUCAGUAGUUUGUUUCUCUCCUUAUCUCCCUGCUUAGAUCACAUUUUUCAUUGGUUCUCGACUAGCUUUUAAGAAAAUCAAUAUUUUUGAUGAGUUAUUCAUUAUCUGUAGGCUAACAUAGGAUAUUCCCUGGGACUACAAUAAAAUUGCUGAUUGUAUUGUUAGAAUGGCAUUUGAUACGGAACAUAGCUUAAAGGUGUUCACAGAAAUUUCAAGAAAGGUGAUAGCUAUUUCUGUUGUUGUUCAGGGAAGAGAUAGUCUUGCUCUUAGCUUAUCUGCCAGCUUGUUUUUGCUUUAAAAAAAAAAAUAAUUGUCGUUCCAUAAAUAAAAUUUUACCUAAAAUAACAAAAUAACAAAAAUUUACCUAAAAUAACAAAAUAACAAAAAUUUACCUAAAAUAACAAAAUUUUUAACUUAAAUAGCAUUAAUUGUCGUUCCAUAAACAAGUUAUUACCAAUUUUUAACAUGUAUAUUGUAUUCAAAUAUGAAAUAAUAAUAAAAAUUAUGUUCAAUAUGUGGUAAAUAAGGUAAUCAAAUAUGCCUUAAUAAGGUAAUCAAAUAUGCCUUCAUAAGGUAUUGUUAUUUUUUAAUAAAAAAAUUUAUAAUUUUAUAAUGUUUUUAUAAUGUUUUUAUAAUUUUUAAUAAUUUAAAAUUUUAAAAGUGCUUAAUUUUUAUAAUUUUAAUUUUGGUAGUAAUGCCUUUUUGACUCUUUAGUCUUAUUGGUUUAAAAAAAUUUAAUUUACUUCCGAAAAAAGAGUAGGGGUCAAAUUAAAUAAAUGUGUAAACAUUAAGGACUAAAUUUAUUAUUUUAUCAUAUAUAAACUUUUAAUAAAGAGACUGUUUUGCUCACUCACUCAUGUAAUAUGUAGGGACUAAUUUAAGCAAAAUCUAUCAAAUAAUACGAUUUUUUAUUACCUUCUUAUUUAAUUAUUAUAGUUCCACGUGUCAAUAGAAUAUGUUACUAAAUGUCAAAUUAUUAGAGUGUGAAAAUGUUGCUUCUUACCAUUUACAAAGAACCUUGUAGAUUAUAUAUACAUAUGAUAGGAUAUCAUAGUGGAAAAAAUGACUUUUUUUUGCUAUGUCCAAUAACAACUCUAGUGCAAUAUGAUUUAUAAAUUAAAAAAUUAUUUUAUUUAAUAAAUAAUAAUUAUAUUAUGUUAAUUAAAACCAACAUGCAUUUGAACAAAGUUAGAGAGUUAAAUUAGAGAUUUAAAUCAUGAAAGUAAACUAAGUAAUUAAAUUGGUAAAAAAUAUGUCUUUAUUUGUGUAAUAUUGGUACGUACAAUACAAGAUAAAUUAAGAACAAUAUUUUGCUGUGACAUGCUAAAAGGCAAUCAAUCCAAAUUCAUUUCACGUAAUAUUGGUAUAUACGAUACAAAAUAAAUUUAAAGUAAUAUUUUUGCUGAGAGAGAAUUUUAAAUGAAAAAUUCCUUAUAACCAUUAAAAUCAUUAGUACACAAAUCUUGCACAUAUCUAAAAAUAUCUAUAAAUAUAUUCAGACAAUAAUAUUAUCUUUAAAAUCCGAAUCUACGUUCCAUUCCUUUAAAAUGAACCAAAUACUUUAUUUUUUUUUUCAAAAGCAAACCUUUUUUGACUUCCUAAUUCCCAAAUAACAUGGUCCUACAUCAAUGCUCCCAAAAAGCCUUUCUAAUAUAUAUUCACCAACAAAUUUUCUAGUCCCAACUACUUUAUAGCCAAUGAAGAUUGAACCAACCAAAAUGAUAUCAUUAUGAAAAUCAUACAAAUCAUACACAAGAAUAACAAAAGAACAGACAUUACAUAACAAAAAAAACAUCAUAAAAUACACAAAAACUGCUAUGGGGCAUCAAUUAACAAAAUAUUUUAUUAAGUUUUUGACAUAAGGCUACCAAUAUUCAAACAUUUGUAUCUAUUAAAUCAUUUAACACUUAUAUUACUAUAGAUUAUUAUCCGAUACAUUAAUAACGACGGUUUUUAAUUUCACAAAUAGAUUUAAAAUUUUCAUUCAUUCAUUUAAAUUUUUAAAUAUUAAUUAAUCAUAUCGACUAUUUUAUAAAAUUAAAAAAUCUCACCGCCAAUGUAUCAAACAAAAUCUUAGAUUCAUUGUGGAUAACUCUAAACCCUAAAACUAUUCAAUUAGAUUAAUAUAUCUCAUAAUUGGGAUUUUUUUUUUUGGCUGCUUCUUUUUUCUAUAAAAAAACAAUCAAAUAUACAUCCCUAAAAUUCCUUCAAUUUUCUAACAGAUUAAAAGGUAAGGAAAAAAGAAACAGAAGCCAACCCCAUCAUCACUCCAUGGAAGAAGACGGCUUAGGUGGUAGUGUAGAAGACGAUGAAUCUUGGUGGGGUGGAAAAAUAAUCUGAAUAAUCUCUUUAUCUUCCACAAUUUUCUUGGAUUCAUUCACGUCUGUUGAGAAAGAACCUUUACGUUUCUUAGGAGCAGGAGGACAAGACAAGAGUUCAGGGAUCCGAUGUUCUUCAGAAGUUGGAGUCCGACAAAUUUCAGGGUCGAAAAGUGAAUCAUCAGCUGGUGGUGGUGUCUUUGCUUCGACAUUAACAGUUAACUUUGAAAAGUUGUCAACUAGACAUUGUUGCAUGGCUUCUUAUUGGGAAUUUUUACACAGAAUUGAUGAGGGUGGCAAUGGUAAAAAGGGUAGGAAUUUAAGGAAUGGAAAUUUUAAUUUUAGGGCAUGAAAGAAUAAAUAAGACAAAAAAACCAAAAUGGAAACAAGGAAUAAGGGAUAAAAGUGGGGUCGGGCCAUUAUUUUUAGAGUUUGACUUUUAUUUUUUAUUUUUUAAGUUAAAAAUAUGUUCCUUGUCUUUUCUAUUUAUUUAAUUCAUUUAUUUUCUCAAAUUUGUCACCUCAUAAUAUUAAUUUCUUUUAUUAUAUCGUAAUUAAGUUUUUUUAUUUCUAAAAUGAUUUAAUAUAUAAUUGUAUUUCGUAUAAUUUCGUCUCAUUAAGUCAUAAGGUUAUAUUUUAUAUUAACAAAGUAUUUUUUAAUUAUUAAUUAUAUAACAUUAAUAAUAUAAAUCUAAUAUUAAUGUGUGAUGGGCCUUAGGAGACUAAACUUAGAGGCCCAAUGUGGACUUUAAAGCCAAAUUUUAGAAUUAAUUGAUUUGACCCAUACCCAUAUAUAUUAGAUUAGUGACUUUCUUGUAUUUUGAUUUGUAUUUCUGGUAAGGUGCCGACACUGCCAAAAGAAAAAGAAAGGAGUUUGAUGUCAUAGAGUAAAAAAAUAAAAAUUAUCUUUACUCUCGGCUCCUUGCGUAAAAAAUCUCUCGGUAAAUAUUUUUGCAUAAAUUAUGUUAUUUAUUUAUUUGACUUUUUUUCCUAAUAUGUUAUUGUUUAAUAUUAUUACAACUUUCAAGUUUUUCAAUUAAAUUAUUGUCAACAAAUUAUUCGUCUUGUGCUAACUAUUCCUAUGUCUACUACAAUAACCAAACAAGCAUUUUCAACCAUAAAAAUUGUGGAGACAAAACUUCACAACAAAAUGGAGGAUAAUUUUCUUUCAACUAACUUGAUGGCAUACAUCGAAAAAGAGAUAACUCGAAAAUUUUCAACAAAUUCUAUUAUUGAUGAGUUCAAUCUUAUGAAAAAGCGGAGUGUGCAAUUUAAGAUGCCUAGUACCGAGAAAUACGACUAAGGAUAAGUUUUUUAAUUUAAUUUUUGGAAUUAUAAUGAUAUUUAUGAAACUUUUAGUAUAAUAUUAGUUAUUAUUUUUUGCAUAUCGAAAAGUAUUUGAGAAGAAUUUUCAACAGAUUCUAUCAUUGAUGAUUUAAAUUGAUUUAUUUGAUAAGAGAAUAAAAAGUAUCCGAGAAGAAUUGGUACUUUUUACGAAAAAAAUCAUUCAAAUUUAAAAAUUACUCCUCUUUGAAGUAAAAUCUUGAAUCUGUCCCUACUUGUAAGAGUAAGAAGGGGUUGUAAUAAUCAGAGCUAGCAACAUUCUUAAAUCACAAGGCAAUAAAAUAGAUAAUCUUACUCAGAGUCUUCUUGUGUAAUUAGCUUAGUUGUCAGCUUGUUUUCGCCUUUACAAAAAAAAGUAUCAAACUUUUACCUAAAAUAACAAUUUUUUUUAACUUAAAUAGCCUUAAUUGUCGUUCCAUAAAUAAGUUAUUACCAAUUCUUAACAUGUAUAUUGUAGUCAAAUAUGAAUUAAUUUUUGGUAAUUUUUUAACUCUUUUUUUUAUUAUCAAAAUAAUAAUAAUAAUAAUAAUAAUAAUAAUAUUAUUAUUAUUAUUAUUAUUAUUAUUAUUUUGCGGUAAAUAAGGUAAUCAAAUAUGUCUUAAUAAGGUAUUGUUAUUUUUUUAAUAAAAAUUUUAUAAUUUUAUAAUUUUUUUUUAUAAUUUUAUUAUGAGUUUUAUGAGUUUUUAAUAAUUUUAAAAUUUUAAAGUACUUAAUUUAUUUUUUAAAAUUUAGUGCUUUUGUUGGCUCUUUAGUCUUAUUAGUUUCAAAAAAAAUUAAUUUACUUCCAAUAAAAGAGGAGGGGUCAAAUUGAAUAAAUAUGUAAACGUUAAAAGACUAAAUUUGUUAUUAUACCAUAUAUAAACACCAAAGCAUACAUUUAAUGGUACAAUUUGAACACAGAGACUAUUUUACUCACUCAUAUAACUCGACUCGAAAUUUCUUGACUCGGUUCUAAAAAAUUCAAAUUGAGUUUGAUUGUUAAAAUAAAAUUCGUCAACUCGACUAACUCAAUUUUUUUUUACUCGAUUCGACUCGAUCGAAUAUUCACCCCUAACUACAAGCGUGGGAAGUUGGCAUUUUUCUUAAGAUUUAGCUGAUAGCGGCUGAAACUUGUGGGUAGUUAUGUAGCUAAUCUCAUUGUUUUUCCUUACACCUUCAUGUCGCCAAAUACACACACAAAGCAACUGUUAAAGGAACAGACAAAGAGAAUCUUUCUCAUGAUUUUUUUCUGAAUGACUAGGUUCAAUUAAGAUAAUUUACUCUAGUCAUCAUUUUGUUGAUUUGGCCAGUUAUUUGGUUUAAGUGACGCGUGUGGGAUCACCUUUAACCUUGAUAUGUUUAAUUAUUUUUCUAAGUUUUUCACAUAUUUUGAGAAACCUCAUAGGUCAUCUUCUAAACCAAUGUUCGAACAUAUAUCAACUACUAAUUCUUCAAUCAAAAUGAAUAGUUCAAGCGACAUAGAUUUCAGUAUGAUUAGAUCGAAAAACCUAAUGCUUUGGUAUUCUCUCCCAUGGUUGUUUGCAUUGAAAACAAUAUAGUGUUACUUUCUAUGCUUUGAAAAUACUAUGUAUGGCUGAAGCUAUAAACUUGGAAAGAAAAAAGUGCAUAUCUUUCCUGAUUACUUUGUUCUGUAUUUGUAUAUAUAUUACAUCUUCAUCAUUUGUUUAUGUUUUCCAUAUUUGUUAUUUUAGCUUUAUUUUGCAGUGUCAUGUAUCAAAGAAGUUGCUGCAACUGAUGAUCAUGAAUGUUUGGAAAACCAGAACACUAUUACUUAGGGAAAGUUUCAACAGUAUGGGAGUGAGUCGUUUGAAGCACAAUAUAGUGCGAACAGACUACCAUUUUCGCUCAAUGAUAACUAGAUGAGCUCGUUGAGUGGAAGCAAGAACAGAAAUGAGGAAUUGGUUAUCAUCAAAUUUUCAUAAGCUGGAGGACAAGGUACUGAAAUUAAUGAUGUUGUUAUUCCUAUUGAUCAACACCGUAGAAGUUUGCUUACUCGGGAGAAGUUACAACGUAAUUUUAGUUCCUUGAAAUCCCAACUUUUUAACAAGAAUAACAACAAAGUGGAUGUUGCAGAUUACCUUGCCUUAAAAAUAAGCACCAGAAGAAAAUGUUUGUAUUCUGGACAACCUCAAACAUAUAGCUGCACAAAUCCAAAAUGUUCGUGGAGAAGCUACUGAGUAAUUUCCAUGAAAAUAUUCAACUUCUUGUUUGUGCCUCAAUCCAAGGGAUGGAAGAGGUGACACCUAAGGAUUUCGACUGGGGCAUGUUGAAAAAAGUGGGCGGCUGAUGCUCAACAAGGCUAAGAACAUUGCUUUCUAGUGGGAUUUGCUAAUAAUCUAUUGUUGGGAACUUGAUGAGCCCGACACAUCUAUUAUAGAAGACCUAGGACCUACAAGUAGAGGUGCUCAUGGGCCUAAUAAUCUAUUGUUAGGAUUUUUUUCCUGGGCCUGGCUAGGACUUAGUCAGAAACUGUUGGAGAGGGUUGACCAAAGAAAAAAAAGUUUGCGAAAUCAAGUUAUGAGUGGAAGAGUAUGUUUUUGUUGCAGUUACCGUCGGAGAUGAGCUUCAAUUGAGUUGUCGUCCUGUACUUGGGCUUCUAAGGAUACUUUUGUUUGAACUCACAAUGGUUUGGUACUUGAACUCAGUCAAAGAAUUUGGGGUUUCUAUAGUUAUUUAUUUUUAGUUACAAAAGGAAGUUGAACUAUAAUGUUAUCGAUAACAAUAGACUAGUUACUUAACACUUAUUCAUUGACAUUACAUUUUGCACUGCCGAAGGAAGUUGUGAGAAAAUAAAAACUCGUUUGGCAACACCUUAUCGCCUUGUGUAUAGCAUCAGCAACCAUAUUCGUUGUUCGUGGUACAUGUUGAAUCUUCACUUGCCAAUCCCUCGUCAUCCAGCUGUGAACCUCCAAUGCCAAUCUCAACGAUCUCAUUACUUCGGCUCCAAGUAUUAGGUCUACUAUUGUUUUACUAUCACUCUCAAUUAGCAGCCAACGCACCCCCUUCUCCCAAGCCAUUUUCAACCCAUCAACAAUUGCUCGAAGUUCUGCCUAUAGUUACUUUUAUUUUAACUCGAUGUGGUUAUGGUAUUUUUUCCUCUAUAUCUCUAAAGCCUACGGUUUUUGUAUUUUAAAUUCAGUAUUUUGUUUGUCUUACCCUUUAGCUAUACAUUUAUCCAUCAUAAAUUAUAACUACCAUUAAAAUUGUAAUGAAAUUAAACAAAAAUAUGUGUACCAAAUCGAUGGAAGAAAUUAAAUUUUUAAUUACAAAAGUAAGAAAAAAUGUUUAGGUACUAAUGUGAAAAUGGUUAAUUCAAAGGCUAAAUGGAAAAAAAUUUAAAAUAUAUUUAGAAUGCACAACAGAAAUGGCUUUAGGACUGAAAAUACAUGUUUCGAAAAGUAAUGGGACUAGAAAUUAAUAAAUUAUAUAGAGGGAUUAAAUCCUUAAAAAAUUCAUUUAUAAUUUAUUUACGGAGGAAAUAAAAAUAGUAAAAAUUCUGCUGUUAAGUCUCUAUACUUUGUGAAAGUUGCUGCUUUAGUUUUUAUAUUUUAAUUUAAUUAAAUUUAGUCUUUAUACUUUUAAAAUUAGUUAAAUUUAGUCCCUGUACUUUUUAAUUUUAAAUUUUUAGUUUUGAACCAAACAGUAGAAGUUAAAUUUGUUUGGUUAAAAUCAAUUACUAGUCAUGUACUACGCGCAUAAUUGUAGAUUUAGUUUAUGGUCUUCAAUUGGAUCAUUCUAAGUCUCUAUAUUUGUUUCCAAAUUGAAAUUUUAGUUUUGAUGUAAAUAAGAGUCGUUAAUCCAUUAACUGGAUUUUGACAUUACACGUAUGAUAAUAUGUUUACCGCAUCGAAUUUUGGAAGUAAUUGAACUCGAUGAAUUUUACUGUUAUCAUUUGGUGAGUACUGAAAUUUUAAAAUUUUAAAAGAAUAAGUCAUAAAGUAAAGUGACUAAUAGCACAGUUGAACCUUGUUAUAUAUAAUAUAUUCAUUCUUCAAGGACUUGGCUACAGCACUUGCCUUAUUUCCGUUUCUGUAUUAGCUCUCCACUAAAGCUUUCGUUCAUCUUCCCUGACAGUGAGUAUUGCUGAAUUACUAAUUGAUUAUGAUAUCUUAACUUGAUUUUGCGGAGUUUUGUUUUUCAUUUGGAGAAAUCUCUUGCUUUAUAUCAUUUCGUUUUUGUUAGUUUAUAUCUGUAAUGUUUUUACCUGUUUUCAAUUUGAAUGUCACUAGAUCUGUGAAAGAUGAGUAGCGAUGACAGUUUGGACAAACUUAUAAAAGGAACGUUUGUUGAUCCCUCGCCGGAAAAUAGCCUGGAACUUAGAGAAGACCUUCGACAGCUUGGGAUUCCGGCAACUGAAGCGCAAAUUGGCGCGAACGUACCGCCGUUGCCGGGCGAUGAGAACCAGGUCAACUCGUUGAGCUUGAUGUCGAGUAGUAGAAUGAAAAGAAACCUGGAAUUUGUUUUCGAUAAUUUCUCGGGAGAUAAAGGAGAAGAAAAAGGGCAGCGCCGAGGAGGCUUUUAUAUCGGUGAAUCAUCAAAUCCGCAGCGACAACGAGGAGCGGGAAGUAAAGAAGAGGAUUUAUCUGAGCUGGAAAUGGCGAAAGCUUUCAAGGAUCGUAUUAACAGUCAGAUAAAGAUGGUAAUGUUUCUUAAUUGAAUUUAAAAAAUUAGUAUUAAAUACUCAUCACCGUUAGUAUAUGUUGAAGUUAGAUAAAUACUGCAUCCACCGCCAAGAACCCUGCUUUUAGCCUUCUGUAGAUGCCUUUUCUUUUCUAUACUAGGAAUCUGUUCUUACGAUGGGAAACAACAGUUUGGAUGAAGAAGAAGUAAAGAUAAAUUAAAAUUUUGUAUAUUAAAUCAAAAGAAAAUGGAUUUUUUUAAAUUAAAAAUCUCAUUCAUUUGUAUUAUGAAAAAUUGGCAUAGUUAACAUAUAAAUGACCGAUUUUUAAUAAUAAAAAUAAAUAAUAUUUCUAACAAAAGUACUAGUUUGUUCUUUAAUCUACUUUAAUCUAAUAUACAUAAAUUAAUUUACUCAAUUUUUAGUAAAAGGAAUGAAGUGCAAUCCAACUUUUAAUACAGAUAACUUUGUAAUACUUUUACCAAUAUUUUAGAGAGCAUCAUUGUUAAAUAAGUUUAAUUUUUACUCCUUUUUUUUUAAUACAAGUGCUUUGCUACCAAUUUCUUUAUUGAAUAAACACUUUUUUUGCUGAAAUGCUUUAAGUGAUUAUAACUUCUAUGUAACCACCAUUAUACUCAUUAUCUAUACAAUUUGCUUUCCAUUUUCCCAUGUUCAAGGAACCCUUUUAAUUUCACUACGCUGUUUAGCAUGUUCAUUCUUACUUUCUCAUUUUAAGAGUCCUUUAGUAACUUUUUGCCUAAAGCUUAUAUGGGUUUGAAUGUUUUGUUAGGGAACUUUUGGAUCUUGUGGCAAAUUUAGAACUCUCAUUUUUCUCAGUCCAUUACCUCCACCUGUUUUGAGCUUGCCCUAAUCUUCCUCUCCACUAUUUCUCAAGAUACUUCAUUUUGUUAGAUUGUAACGUUUUCGCACUUUACUAACAAAACCCUUUACACCUUCCUUGAAGUGCCUUUUCUCAACUGACAAUAUAGCUAAGGACAGUUUCAGAAAAAUACUUGCUACGGUCCGAAAACCCUUGCAUUAACAAUGGUGAUAAAAUCAUGAUCAGAAUGGUUUUUAUCUCCGUAGAAGACACUAACAAUACCUAGUAGUCACCCUUUUUUUUUUUCAAAGAAAAAGCUGUAAGAAUUGUUUAUCUCCAAAAAAAGCAAUAUCUUGAAAUGCGUAUUCGUAUUACAUGAUUCUUAAUACUUGUUUAUAUUUGGUGAAAUGUAGGACGACAUGGCAUAUAUGGAAUCUGUGAUCUGGAUUUUCCAUCAGAUGAUAGAGAUGAAAGCCUCUGCUCUCUUGCCAAAAGUUCUCGGCUCCCACAAGCAAAUCAAAUCGCAAUGCCCAGUUCGAUCUGAUCUUGAUGACAUUAAGCGAAAGGUCCUUGAAAUCGAGCUCGAGUUCAAGGACACUGGUUUGACAGAUGAGGCAAAGCGGAGAUUGCUCAAAUUAGAAGAGGAGUUUAAAAGAUUAGAUAAAAAAUGGAUGAAGGUAUGGUAUUGUUUACAAAUUUAAUUACCACAUUUAGUUUCAUGAUGUAACAUAUUAUUCUGACUUUUUAACUUGGUUUUUCAGGACUUGACAAAAGCUGGGAACCUUGAUGCAAUCUUCACUAAUAAUAUGGUAUGCACAUAAACGUUUCUUAUGAUUGAUAUUAACCUAGAUUAUUAUUCUUGAAUAAAAUGAACAUUUCUCAUUUAUAAAUCACAUUAUAAUUAUAUUUUUCUUUCCUCUUAGACAUGUUUUUUAGAUAGUAAAAAUGGUAAAAAUAUCAUGGAGAGUCUUGUACUAGAAGUCAGAUUACUUUUUUGUCCCCACUAAAAAAAUAGACAAUUAGUCCUUAUAUUAUCAGAGCAAAUGGCUCCAUCUAUUACAAAUUUCAUUAAUUUCUACUGUUCAAAUCUAGUCCUUAGACCUUAACAUGAGGUAUACGUAACACGUCACAUGUAACUGUUUUGGUUAUUCUGUUAUCUACAUCAGUUUUUAACUAUAAAAAUAGACGAUAAUUUCAACAGAAAAGCUUAGUUUGGUUUUUUUUUUUAUUAAAUGGGCAAAAUACAAUUUAAUAUAAUAUUUUUACUUAGAAAAAAGUCGUUUUCAACUAUUUUUCAUGGAUUUGAGUGUGACUAGAGAAUACUAUUGCAUGCCCCGCUACAUAUAAUUUUCUUUUUUAUGUAUUUAGAGGAAUCCUUGGUGAUCAUAUGUGAUACCUACAUUUGAAUAUGUGUUUCUACAUUAAUCUUUUUAAAAAUCAAUUUACAAUUGCAAUAUCUUUCCUCACGCACCCGACCACUUUAAGCUAUUUUAGUAAGUUUUUUCUAAAUUUUUUUCAUGCAUUUAGGUGAACCUUGGACGGUCAUUCCAUGCCCGUAUCUGAAUAUAUGUGGAACAUGUACAUUUCAAGCAAAAUGAUAAUAAUACAUGUAGUUGAAUCUUUCUAAGCGCAUAUCUUACUUUAUUAAUUUGUUCAACAUCCAUUUCUGUGGUAUCUCUUGGUUUUUUUUUUUUUGGCAGUAUAUCCAAUUAAUUCUUAAAUUUGCCCCUGUUUAAAUCUCUUUUUGAUCAUUAAAUUAUAUUUCUUUUAAAUUUCAGGAUUUCAGCGUGGAGACACUAAGGAAAGAGGUACGGUGUAUCUAGGUCUAUAUAUAUAAGUUGGAUUAUCUAUCCAAGUCCAAAAACUCAUUUCAAAAAUGGGAAGAUUUGAGCAAAAAUAUUAGGUCGAAAAAUGAGUUUGAGCAAAAAAAAAAAAAUUAGGCCCAUUUUAAAAAUGGGUCGAACUCGGGCUUAAACAUUUAAGGCCGAACCUUGUUUUUUAAGUUUGUGAUAUUUUAUAUUAUAUAUUAUAAAAUUUAUAAUGUAAAUAUUAAAAAAAAAAGUUAAGGUAACUAUUAAAGUGAGCUUGGAUUAGCUAUUUACAAAUAUGGACAACGUUACUUAAACUUUUAGGUUCAUAUUUUGAAUUGAACCAGGUUUAAACAAGCAUAAUGCGUAUUAAUAACAUGUUUAGAUUCAAUUUAGCCGAUAAACCCCUCUAUAUAAACCUAUUUGGAAACUCAAUUUUCAAAACAUGAAUUUUGUUUUGUAAGCUUUACGACAUAAAUGAAAUAUUUAUGGUUAUUUUUCAAAUAAUAAUGAGAACUAAUUUAUAUUUAUAGUAAAUGAAAUACAAAUCUAAAUCUUUAAAAUUCAUGCUUCCAUAAAGUAACUUUACAUUGAAAUUUUAAUUUAUUGUCUAUAUUUGUUGUUGUUGUAGCUUUUCUCAGCAGGUCCAUGGAUUGAUAUGAAGAAAUUGCUUUAAAUAAUGAUCUUUAUGCUGCUGAUUAAGAUCAUGGAAGUUUGGCAGCUGGUGAAGGAUAUCACUCAUCUUUUGUUAUCUUUUAGAACACACUCAACUUUGAAGGAUUGUUUGAUAUAUUUUUAAUCUUCUCUAUGAAACUCUAAGGUUUUAACUUUGUGGAACUAAAAUCUAAUAAAAAGUGGUACUCCAAAACAAAAACAAAAAAAUCUUAAGAAUUUAUGAGUAAGGGCAGGCAUGAAAAUUUUCUAUUUAGAUCUUUUAUAUAAUUUUUAAAAUUUUAAAUUAAUAAAAGUAAAAUUAUUCUUUGGUUACCUUUAAAAAUGAUAAAAUUUUAAUUUAAUCAUUUAAAAGUUAUACUUUUAUUAUCGUAAAAAUUAUAAUUUAAUUUCGACUCUUCCUAAAAAGAUUUUCCGACUUCACCUCUUAAUAAAAGUGUACAACUGAGCUUAGUUGAGUUACAUGAAGUUCGAAAUUUAGAUUUGAAGUUUAGUUUCGACUUAUCUAUAUUGAGCUGGAUUCAAAAUUAAAAUUAUAUUAUGCCAUUCAUUAUAGUUAAAAAGAAUCAAAUGUAGACAUCAUUAAAACCUUCUUUAAUUCUUUUACUUCCAUUUAAAACAUUUUUAAACAAAUAUUUUUUUUUUCUUAUAGUCAAUUUUUAAUUUAAAAUUUAUUUUUAUGUGGAUAAUGUCAUGCCUUGGACUUAGGUUUGACAGACGUCUCACAUGUAAGAAUGCUAUCCAUUCGAUUUGCUUUUUUAUUUUUUUAUAUUAAUUUUGAGUUUUGGAAUUUUAUAUACAUUUUAACAAAAUGAAAUUGCUUUUAUGAUUUUUGAAUAUUAUUUAACAAAAUUUUAAAAUAUUUUCAUAAAUAUUUCUAAAAAAUAAUAUUUUUUUAAGAAGUAUUAGAUAAUUUUUACUAUUUUAAAUAUAAAAUAUUUUUUAUAUCAUAAAAAUUAAAAUUAAUUAUUAAAUAGAAAAAUAAAAUUCAGAUUGAUUUCGUGUAAUCGUGUUUUUUAAACAUACAUUAUAUAAAUCACUCAAACACUUUAAUUUGAGUUGGUUUUUGAUUUUGUGAAUUUUCUUGCUUAGUCCUAUACAUAUAUAAGAAAAGAAAAAUCUCACAAAUAUGUAAAAGUACAACCAAGUAACAUAAAACGUGAUUAAUAUGUUUUAAAAUCGAAAAAUUAGACAUUCAUACCAUUAAAUUUGUCACGUCUCGAGUCGAGGUAUAAUAAACGCAAGAGAUACGUAAAAUAAAAGCUCAUGCCUCUAACUUUCAUUCAUUUUUAUCAUUUUGAAUCUUGUUCUUUUUUAGGUCAUUUUAGCCUUAAGCUUUAAAAUUAAUUUAUUUAUUUGCUUUUAUUGAAAUGUUAAAAUUUUAAUGGUAUGGAUAUGCUAAUUCAUGCUGCAGUUUAUGUAUAUUUCACUAUUAACAUUGAUAAAAAUUUUAAAAAUUUUUAGCAACUUUUUUGAAUUAUCAUAAAUUAUUAAUUUCUAAUAUCACAUAUGAUUUUAUACGUUUAAUAUUUAAUUAAUAUUUUAAAUAUAAUUUUUUAUUACAGUAAUUAGUAUUAAAAUUUAUUAAUUUACUAAUAGAAAAUUUAAAGUAUUUUUAUUGUAUUUAAAUUAGGGUCUGUUUGAUUGACGGAAUUGAUUUUCCGGAAAAUCAUUUCCAACUUUUCCAGCGUUUGAUUGGCGGAAAAUAUUUUCCAUUUGGAAAAUGAACUCUAAAACAAGGGAAAAUGGGUUACAUUUUAGGGAAAAUGUCUUACCCUUUCAAUUUCCGUAAAACAUUUUCCGUGCUCUCCUCUCUAUCGCCUCCUUCAUUCCUUCCUUCAUUUCCGGUAGAAAACUGCUUCUGUUUAUCGAUUUUCCAGUAACUUGUUUUUUUAAUUAUUCAAUACUUAUUUUUUUAACACAAUUACAAAUGAUUUAUUUGAUAUUAGUUUUUUUCAAUUUAUAACGAUUAAUAUUGUAGCUUAAUAAUUGAGUAUUAUUAUAAAUAAAUCAUUGCAAUAUAUGUAAAAAUAAUUUAAAAUAUAAAAAUUUAUUAAUAUAUGUAAAAACAACUUUUCCGAAAAAUAUUUUCAAAAAAUCUGCCAAGCAGCAGAAAAUAUUUUACACAGAUUCAAUCAAACACUAGAAAAUAUUUCCAGUAAAUCAUUUUACAGAAAAGUAAAACAUUUUCCAGAAAUCAUUUUACGGAAAAUAUUUUACUGGCAAUCAAACAGACCCUUAAAGUAACAUUAUUCCACACUUAACCGCACUCGUCCGCUCAGCUCACUUUCGCGCGGUCCUAACUAGUCUCCGCACUUUCAAAUGUACAUACCUUGCAGUUUCAGUCCUCCAUAGUCUUUGGUCUAUACAAUUAAGGCUUUAAUUUCAGUUUUAUUUAUUCAAUUUAAUUCCUAUUAUUAUUCGUAUUAUUUAUUUUAGUUAUUUUUCUUAAUUAAUUAUUUACUGUGAUUUGAAAACUUUUAUUUGCAUUCUUGACAUCACAAUGUCUGACUGAUACCACAAUAUCUCUAUAUUAUUUUGAACCUUUUUUAAUCUUUUAAAGUCCGUUUUAGUCUCGAAUGCCUCUGAACAUUCAAAAAUUAAUUUUUUAAAUGAUUUCAAUACGAUCUUAAAGUCCUAAAAUUGAAUCUAUCUACUUCCUAAAAUUUUAUAAAACUUAAUCUAAUUUCUUACUGAAUGGUCCCACAUAGUUUUGAGCUUUUUCAAAGUCUCGAGACCUGAUACGAGUUAUGAACACCUUUAACUCACCUCAAACCAUUUUUAAAUGAUUUAAAAUUGUUUAUAAAACCAUCCAAAAAUCCAAACUUGAUUUAAUGAUUUAACAAAAAUAUUUUUAAAUUACAACUCUUCAAUGAUUUUGAGGAUUUUGACUCGUAUAUGUUCUGGUAGGUAUUACAUUUUGUGGUAUCUCAAAGUUUAAAAAUAAAGUAAGGACUAAAUUUUAAAUUUUAAAAAGUAAAGGGAUGUUAAUGGUAAUUUUAUUAACCAAAAGUCAAAUGUGACGCUUCCCUGGUUUUCUUUCUCUCGAUCCAACUUUUUAAUCGCCUUGUGUAUAGCAUCAGCAACCAUAUUCGUUGUUUGUGGUACAUGUUGAAUCUUCACUUGCCAACCCUUCGUCAUCCAGCUGUGAACCUCCAAUGCCAAUCUCAACAAUCCCAUUGCUUUGGCUCCUAGUGUUAAGUCCACUAUUGUUUUACUAUCACUCUCAAUUAGCAGCCAACGCACCCCCUUCUCCCAAGCCGUUUCCAGCCCAUCAACAAUUGCUCUAAGUUCUACCUAUAGUUACUUUUAUUUUAACUCGAUAUGGUUAUGGUAUUUUUUCUUCUAUAUCUCUAAAGCCUACGGUUUUAAUAUUUUAAAUUCAGUAUUUUGUUUGUCUUACCCUUUAGCUAUACAUUUAUCCAUCAUAAGUUAUAACUACCAUUAAAAUUGUAAUGAAAUUAAACAAAAAUAUGUGUACCAAAUCGAUGGAAGAAAUUAAAUUUUUAAGUACAAAAGUAAGAAAAAAUGUUUAGGUACUAAUGUGAAAAAAUGGUUAAUUCAAAGGCUAAAUGGUACAUUUACGCCUACGAAUUCUGGGGUGUAAUUUGUAAACCCAUGAAUAGUUUUAGGGUUUAAUUGGAAUUGUAUUUCCGGCCUUUAAAUUCUUAAAGGUAUUGUCCUCCCGUUCCUUGAACUAAUAUUUCCCGUUCCUUUCGGUUCAAGCAAUGAUCAAAAUAGGUCAAAUUUCAUAUUCAGUACCUGCACUAUGUUUUUCUUUUUGAUUUAGUCUCUCCUCUAUAAUUUGGUCAUUUCCAGCCUUUUUACUUUUUAAAAUGUGUAAUUUCAAUCAAUAUUGAGAUUACUUUUUUUUUUAAAACAUAUGAUGAGAUGAGAUGAGAUGAGAUGAGAUGAAAUGUAUAAUUUAUUAUUUUAUAUAUCUAGAUAACUUUUUUUUACAUUUAGAAAACAAAAGAAAAUUGUAUAAUAUUUAUCUAAUUAUACAAAAAAAUUUAAAAUACAUAUAGAAUGCACAACAGAAAUGGCUUUAGGACUGAAAAUACAUGUUUCGAAAAGUAAUGGGACUAGAAAUUAAUAAAUUAUAUAGAGGGAUUAAAUCCUUAAAAAAAUCAUUAAUAAUUUAUUUAUGGAGGAAAUAAAAAUUCAUAAUUUCACUUAAUAUAGAUUCCAAGUAAAAAUUCUGCUGUUUAAUUUAGUUUCUAUACUUUGUGAAAGUUGCUUCUUUAGUUUCUAUAUUUAAUUUUAAUUAAACUUGGUCUCUAUACUUUUCAAAUUAGUUAAUUUUAGUCCCUGUAACUUUUAAUUUUAAAUUUUUAGUUUUGAACCAAACAGUAGAAGCUAAAUUUGUUUGGUUAAAAUCAAUUACUAGUCAUGUACUACGCGCAUAAUUGUAGAUUUAGUUUAUGGUCUUCAAUUGGAUCAUUCUAGGUCUUUAUAUUUGUUUCCAAAUUGAAAUUCUAGUUUUGAUGUAAAUAAUAGUCGCUAAUCCAUUAAUUGGAUUUUGACAUUACACGUAUGAUAAUAUGUUUAUCGCAUCGAAUUUUGAAAGUAAUAGAACUCGAUGAAUUUUACUGUUAUCAUUUGGUGAGUAUUGAAAUUUUAAAAUUUGAAAAGAAUAAGGACCAAAUUCAUAACAUCCAUAAAGUGACUAAUAGCACAGUUUAACCUUGUUAUAUAUAAUAUCUUCAUUCUUCAAGGACUUGGCUGCAGCACUUGCCUUAUUUCCUUUUCUGUAUUAGCUCUCCACUAAAGAUUUCGUUCAUCUUCCCUGACAGUGAGUAUUGCUGAAUUACUAAUUGAUUAUGAUAUCUUAACUUGAUUUUGCGGAGUUUUGUUUUUCAUUUGGAGAAAUCUCUUGCUUUAUAUCAUUUCGUUUUUGUUAGUUUAUAUCUGUAAUGUUUUUACCUGUUUUCAAUUUGAAUGUCAGUAGAUCUGUGAAAGAUGAGCAGCGAUGACAGUUUGGACAAACUUAUAAAAGGAACGUUUGUUGAUCCCUCGCCGGAAAAUAGCCUGGAACUUAGAGAAGACCUUCGACAGGUUGGGAUUCCGGCAACUGAAGCGCAAAUUGGCGCGAACGUACCGCCGUUGCCGAGCGAUGAUAACCAGGUCAACUCUUUGAGCUUGAUGUCAAGUAGUAGAAUGAAAAGAAACCUGGAAUUUGUUUUCGAUAAUUUCUCGGGAGAUAAAGGAGAAGAAAAAAAGCAGCGCCGAGGAGGCUUUUAUAUCGGUGAAUCAUCAAAUCCGCAGCAACAACGAGGAGCGGGAAGUAAAGAAGAGGAUUUAUCUGAGCUGGAAAUGGCGAAAGCUUUCAAGGAUCGUAUUAACAGUCAGAUAAAGAUGGUAAUGUUUCUUAAUUGAAUUUAAAAAAUUAGUAUUAAAUACUCAUCACCGUUAGUAUAUGUUGAAGUUAGAUAAAUACUGCAUCCACUGCCAAGAACCCUGCUUUGAACCCUGCUUUUAGCCUUCUGUAGAUGCCUUUUCUUUUUUAUACUAGGAAUCUGUUCUUACAAUGGGAAACAACAGUUUGGAUGAAGAAGAAUUAUCCUUGCUUUUUAUUUUAUUUACUUAAAAAAUUAGAUAAAUUAAAAUUUUGUAUAUUAAAUCAAGAGAAAAUCUAUUUUUUUUUGGUUAAAAAUCUCAUUCAUUUGUAUUAUGAAAAAUUGGCAUAGUUAACAUAUAAAUGACCGAUUUUUAAUAAUAAAAAUAAAUAAAAUUUCUAACAAAAGUACUAGUUUAUUCUUUAAUCUACUUUAAACUAAAAUACGUAAAUUAAUUUACUCAAUUUUUAGUAAAAGGAAUGAAGUGCAAUCCAACUUUUAAUACAGGUAACUUUGUAAUACUUUUACCAAUAUUUUAGAGAGCAUCAUUGUUCAAUAAGUUUAAUUUUUACUUUUUUUUUUUUUAAUACAAGUGCUUUGCUACCCAUUUCUUUAUUGAAUAAACACUUUUUUUUGCUGAAAUGCUUUAAGUGAUUAUAACUUUUAUGUAGCCACCAUUAUACUCAUUAUCUAUACAAUUAUUGCUUUCCAUUUUUCCAUGUUCAAGCAACCCUUUUAAUUUCACUACCCUAUUUAGCAUGUUCAUUCUUACUUUCUCAUUUUAAUAGUCCUUUAGUAACUUUUUACCUAAAGCUUAUAGGGGUUUGAAUGUUUUGUUAGGGGACUUUUGGACCUUGUGGCAAAUUUAGAACUCUCAUUUUUCUCAGUCUAUUACCUCCACCAGUUUAGAGCUUGCCCUAAUCUUCCUCUCCACUAUUUCUAAAGAUAUUUCAUUUUGUUAGAUUGUAACGUUUUCUCACUUUACUAACAAAACCCUUUACACCUUCCUUGAAGUGCCUUUUCUCAACUGACAAUAUAGCUAAGUACAUUUUCAGAAAAAAUACUGGGUACGGUCCGAAAACCCUUGCAUUAACAAUGGUGAUAAAAUCAUGAGAAUGGUUUUUAUCUCCGUAGAAGACACUAACAAUACCUAGUAGUCACCCUUUUUUUUUUUCAAAGAAAAAGCUGUAAGAAUUGUUUAUCUCCAUAAAAAGCAAUAUCUUGAAAUGUGUAUUCGUAUUACAUGUUUCUUAAUACUUGUUUAUAUUUGGUGAAAUGUAGGACGACAUGGCAUAUAUGGAAUCUGUGAUCUGGAUUUUCCAUCAGAUGAUAGAGAUGAAAGCCUCUGCUCUCUUGCCAAAAGUUCUCGGCUCCCUCAAGCAAAUCAAAUCGCAAUGCCCAGUUCGAUCUGAUCUUGAUGACAUUAAGCGAAAGGUCCUUGAAAUCGAGCUCGAGUUCAAGGACACUGGUUUGACAGAUGAGGCAAAGUGGAGAUUGCUCGAAUUAGAAGAGGAGUUUAAGAGAUUGGAUAAAAAAUGGAUGAAGGUAUGGUAUUGUUUACAAAUUUAAUUACCACAUUUAGUUUCAUGAUGUAACAUAUUAUUCUGACUUUUUAACUUGGUUUUUCAGGACUUGACAAAAGCUGUUAACCUUGAUGCAAUCUUCACUAAUAAUAUGGUAUGCACAUAAACGCUUCUUAUGAUUGAUAUUAACCUAGAUUAUUAUUCUUGAAUAAAAUGAACAUUUCUCAUUUAUAAAUCACAUUAUAAUUAUAUUUUUCUUUCCUCAUUCAUUAGACUUGUUUUUUAGAUAGUAAAAAUGAUAAAAAUAUCAUGGAGGGUUUUGUAUUAAAAAUCAGAUUACUUUUUGUCUCCUCUAAAAACAAAUGGACAGUUAGUCUUUAUAUGUAAUAUCAGAGCAAAUGGCUCCAUCUAUUACAAAUUUUAUUAAUUUCUACUGUUAAAAUCUAGUCAUUAUACCUUAGCAUGAGGUAUAUGUAACACGUUACAUAUACAUGUUUGGUUAUUCUGUUAUCCACAUCAAUUUUUAACUAUAGAAAUAGACUAUAAUUUUAACAGAAAAGCUUAGCUUGCUUUUUUUUUUUUAUUAAAUGAGUAAAAUAUAAUCUAACUUAUAAUACAAAAGUCUCUAUAAUAUUUUUACUUAGAAAAAAAGGGUCAUUUUCAAUUUUUUUCUAUGCAUUUAGAGGAAUCCUUGGUGAUCAUAUGUGAUACCUACUACAUUUGAAUAUGUGUUUCUACAUUAAUCUUUUAAAAAUCAAUUUACAAUUGCAAUAUCUUUCCUCACGCACCCGACCACUUUAAGCUAUAUAUUUUAGUAAGAAUUUUUAAAAUUUUUUUUCAUGUAUUUAGGUGAACCUUGGACGGUCAUAUUCCAUGCCCAUAUCUGAAUAUAUGUGUAACAUGGACAUUUCAAGCAAAAUGAUAAUAAUACAUGUGGUUGAAUCUUUCUAAGCAUAUGAUAUAUUAGAAGCUAUAAACUUGAGAAUGAAAAAAAGUGCAUAUCUUACUUUAUUAAUUUGUUCACCGUCCAUUUCUCUUGUAUCUCGUCUUUUUUAUUUUUAUUUUUGCAGUAUAUCCAAUUAAUUCUUAAACUUGCCCCUGUUUGAAUCUCUUCUUGAUCAUUAAGUUUUAUUUCUUUUAAAUUUCAGUAUUUCAGCGUGGAGACACUAAGGAAAGAGGUACGGUGUAUCUAGAUCUAUAAAUAAGUUGCAUUAUCUAUCCAAGUCCAAAGACUCAUUUCAAAAAUGGGAAGGUUUGGACAAAAAUAUUAGGUCGAAAAAUGAGUUUGAGCAAAAAAAAUUAGGCUCAUUUUAAAAAUGGGUCGAGCUCGGGCUUGAACAUUUAAGGCCGAAGCUUGUUUUUAAAUUUGUAAUAUUUUAUUAUAUUAUAAAAUUUAUAAUGUAAAUAUUAAAAAAAAUUUAAGAUAACUAUUAAAAUGAGCUUGGAUUAGCUGUUUAGAAAUAAUGACAGCCUCACCUAAAUUUUUAGGUUUAUAUUUCGCAUUGGACCAAUUUUAAACAAGCAUAAUACGUAUUAAUAACAUGUUUAAAUUCAAUUCAGCCCAUAAACACUUCUAUAUAUACCUAUUCGGAAACUCAAUUUUCGAAACAUGAAUUUUGGUUUGUAACCUUUACUACAUAAAUGUAAUAUUUAUGAUUAUUUUAAAAAUAAUAAUGAGAACUAAUUUAUAUUUAUAGUAAAUGAAAUACAAAUCUAAAUCUUUAAAAUUCACGUUUCCAUAAAGUAACUUUACAUUGAAAUUUUAAUUUAUUGUCUAUAUUUGUUGUUGUUGUAGCUUCUUUCAGCAUGUCCAUGGAUUGAUAUGAAGAAGUUACUGUAAAUAAUGAUCUUUAUGCUGUUGAUUAAGAUCAUGGAAGUUUGGCAGCUUGUGAAGGAUAACUUAUCAUUAUUAUCACUCAUCUUUUGUUAUCUUUUAGAACACAAUCAACUUUGAAGGAUUGUUUGAUAUAUUUUUAAUCUUCUCUAUGACACUCUAUGGUUUUAACUUUGUGGAAUUAAAAUCUAAUAAAAAAAUCUGAAGAAUUUAUGAGUAAGGGCAGCCAUGGAAAUUUUCUAUUUAAAUCUUUUAUUUACUUUUUAAAAUUUUAAAUUAAAAAAAUAAAAUUAGACUUUAGUUAUCUUUAAAAUUAAUAAAAAUUUAAUUUAAUUUUUUAAAAUAGUAAAAAUUAUAAUUUAAUUUCGACUUUUCCUAAAAAAAAUUCCUAAGUUAACUGUACAAUUGAGCUUAAUUGAGUUACAUGAAGUUUAGUAUCAACUUAUCUAUAUUGAGCUGGAUUCAAGAUUGAAAUUAAAUUAUGCCCAUUCAUUAUAAUUAAAAAGAAUCAAAUGUAGACAUUAAAACCUUUUUUAAUUCUUUUACUUCUAUUUAAAACAUUUUUAAACAAAUAAAUUUUUGUCUUAUAGUCAAAUUUUAAUUUAAAAUUUAUUUGUAUGUGGAUAAUGUCAUGCCUUGGAGUUUGGACUAAGGUUUGACAUACGUGUCACAUGUAAGAAUGCUAUCGAUUGAUUUGGUUUUUCUAUUUGUUAUAUUAAUUUUGAGUUUUAGAAUUUUAAAUCCAUUUUAACAAAAUGAGUUUUAUUUUAUAAUUUUUGAAUAUUAUUUGACAAGUUUUAAAAUAUUUUAUAAAUAUUUUUAAAAAACAAAUAACUUUUUAAGAAGCAUUAGAUAAUUUUUACUAUUUUAAAUAUAAAAUAUUUUUAUAUCAUAAAAAUUAAAAUUAAUUAUUAAAUAGAAAAAUAAAAUUCGGAUUAAUUUCGUGUAAUCGUGUUUUCUAAACAUACAUUAUAUAAAUCGUGUUUUCUAAACAUACAUUAUAUAAAUCGUGUUUUUUAUUUUGUGAAUUUUCUUGCUUAGUCCUAUACAUAUGUAAGAAAAAAAAUUACAACCAAGCAACAUAAAAGCAUGAUUAAUAUGUUUUAAAAUCGAAAAAUUAGACUUUAAUACCAUUAAAUUUGUCACGUCUCGAGUCGAGACAUAAUAAACGCAAGAGAUAAAUAAAAUAAAAGUUCAUGCAAAAGUUAUCACUUAAAUAUUACAACAAUUACAAAUAUCCAAAGAUGUUGGCCUCUAACUUUUAUUCAUCUUUUAUCAUUUUGAAUCUUAUUCUUUUUGAGGUUAUUUUAGCCGUAAUCUUUAAAAUCUAAUUAAUUUAUUUGCUCUUGGAUAAUAAAAAAUUAAUUGAAAUGUUAAAAUUUUAAUGGUAUUGAUGUGGUAACUCAUGCUGCAUUUUACGUAUAUUUCACUAUUAACAUUGAUAAAAAUUUUAAAAAAUUUUAUCAACUUUUUUGAAUUUUCAUAAAUUAAUAAUUUCUAAUAUCACAUAUGAUUUUAUACGUUUAAUAUUUAAUUAAUAUUUUAAAUAUAAUUUUUUAUUACAAUAAUUAGUAUUAAAAUUUAUUAAUUUACUAAUAGAAAAUUUAAAGUAUUUUUAUUGUAUUUAAAAUUUUAAAGUAACAUUAUUCCACACUUAACCGCACUCGUCCGCUCGGCUCACUUCCGCGCGGUCCUACCUAGUCUCCGCACUUUCAAAUGUACAUACCUUGCAGUUUCAGUCCUCCAUAGUCUUUGGUCUAUACAAUUAAGGCUUUAAUUUCAGUUUUAUUUAUUCAAUUUAAUUCCUAAUAUUAUUAUUAUUUAUUUUAGUUAUUUUUCUUAAUUAAUUAUUUACUGUGAUUUAAAAACUUUUAUUUGCAUUCUUGACAUCACAAUGUCUGACCGAUACCACAAUAUCUCUAUAUUAUUUUGAACUUUUUUUAACCUUUCAAAGUCCGUUUUAGUCUCGAAUGCCUGAAAUUAAUUUUUUAAAUGAUUUCAAUACGAUAUUAAAGUCCUAAAAUUGAAUCUAUCUACUUCCUAAAAUUUUAUAAAACUUAAUCUAAUUUCUUACUGAAUGGUCCUACACAGUUUUGAGCUUUUUCAAAGUCUCGAGACCCGAUACGAGUUAUGAACACCUUUAACUCACCUCAAACUGUUUUUAAAUGAUUUUAAAUUAUUUAUAAAACCAUCCAAAAAUCCAAACUGGAUUUAACGAUUUAAGAAAAAUAUUUUUUAAAUUACAACUCCUCAAUGAUUUUGAGGAUUUUGACUCGUAUAUGUUCUGGUAGGUAGUACAUUUUGUAGUAUCUCAAAGUUUAAAAAUGAAGUAUAGACUAAAUUUUAAAUUUUAAAAAGUAAAGGGAUGUUAAUGGUAAUUUUAUUAACCACAAGUCAAAUGUGACACUUCACUGGUGUUCUUUCUCUCGAUCCAACUUUUUAAUCGAGUUGCUUUCGACCUUAAGCCUCUAUUUAAAUGAGAACUUCCUCUCUAAUGGAUUUCAUCAUUUCUUCACCAUUAACGCAGCAGCAGCUCCUUCUCUUCUCUUCUCCACACUACAUCAAAGCAGUGAGUUGCUAUUUCAAUUCACUUAACUCAUUUCCCCUCACUUUCUGUACAUGUAUUGCUUUGAUUUUUGCUAAAUUUAUAAUUUCAUAUCCGUUAAGUUUUGUUAGUUUAUGAUUUUGACUUGCUUGCUUGUUUCUAUUUUCGUUCUGAAUUAGGAAAAUCUUUUGAUUGUUUUAGAUUCAGAAAUUUGAUUUGAGUUAAAAUUUUCAGAUCCGUGUAAGAUGACGAAUUGGUCUAGUCUCAGUGGCCAUAGGGAUAUCAUUAUGAUACCCACACCUGGAGCGCCAAAUGGUGCUGAUGGACAACCAUCGGCCGAUCAUUAUCAGGUGAAUUCCUCGAGCUCGAUGUUGACCGGAGGAAAGAAAAGAAAGCAGAAACCUGAAGGAAAAGGUCAAGGCAUCAAGAAACAGUGCCUGGCCCGGGUAACCGGUGAAGAAGAGAGUGUGGGAGAGCUUACUGUACAGCAUAGUGGGAAAAUCUACACUGACCAAAUCAACAGAAGGAUAUGUAAAGUAAAUUCUCUUAACUGAACUUAGCCAUUCACAUCAACUGAAGCAAAAACCAUGAGAAAGAUUUUCUCUGUCUCUUACUUUGACACUUGCUUUGUGUGUAUUUGGUGGCAUAAAGGUGAAGGAAAAACUUUUGGAUUGGCUAAGGAACUGUCCAGAAGUUAUAUCCAUCAUCAAUCAAAUUGAAGAGAAAUGGCCACUGCUAUCUGAACUCCAAAAAAUUAAGGAGAAAAAUAGUGAAAUCCAAACCGAGUUCAAGGCAGGCCGUUUAAAAGAGGAUGGGGCGAUGCAGAAAAUGGACGAACUAAAAGAGAGGCUCAAUCGUGUAGAUGGACAACUACAGGUGUGCUAAUGUUUACCAAUCGAAUUACUGAGUUUGGUUUCAUGAUCUAAUUGUCCAAUUUAACUUUGGUUUUUCAGGAGUUCCACAAAGCAAACAACGUUGAGGUAAGCACAGUAACAAUAUAAUUACUAAGUUCGAUAUCCUCUUGAUCUAACGAUUUAACUUGGUUUUUCAGGAGUUGAACAAAGUAAAGAAACUUGAGACAAUGUUCCUUAAAAAUGAGGUAAGCACAUUUCUUAUCAUUGAUAUUAACUAAUAUAGUAGGGCAUAGUACCAAUAAAGUCCCAUGUCCUUAUCCACUAAACUUGUUUUUAGACAUAGCAAAAAGUAUUUUUCUUCAGCUAUUUGUUUGGAUUCGGGUUUAUGCAUUGGAUACAUAUUUGUGUAUUUGAAAAUAUACCUAUAUUCAAAUAUAUGUUGGUAUGUUCCUCAUUUAUAAAUCCAAUUACAAUGUAAUAUGUUUCUUCAUCUACUACACUUCAUUUCUAAAUUUAGUAAAAUGUCAUUUUCAGUUAUAUUAAUUGGAUUCGAGUAUGAAUAUUUUUAUAUGGAUUCACAAUUUUAUAGGUUCACGUUUAAUCUUGACAUAUUUAAAUUUUUUUUAAAUCAUAUAUUUUAGAAAAUAUCGAACGUUAUAUUUUAAACUAAUAUUCAUAAAUAUGCCCUUAUUUGCAUCAUAUGUUGAAUCAUAUUUCUUGAUGAAUUUGUUGUCUACCCAUAUCUUCCUUUUUCAGGUCUCAAUAUCUAAAGUUAUCUUAGACUUGCCCUUAUUUGCAUCUUUAAUAAUUUGUUUAUAUUUCUCCUAAAUUUCAGGAAUAUGACGUGGAAACUCUUGAAAAAGAGGUAUGGCAUAUAUAUAUAUAUAUAUAUAUAUAAAUGAAAUUGGUAGGUGAUGAUCGGUAGAUUUGAAAACUUGAAUUUCGAAAAUAGCAUUAGACAUAAAUAUUAUUUAUCAAAUGAUUUAAUACAUAAUUUGAUAUUUAAGUUUAAUAUUUUUUUCUAAUAUUUAUGUGUUAAGUAUGGAGUUUGUACACACUAAUAUAAAUUUAAUUAUUUCUCAAAUCCAUAAUUUGAAAUUAUCGGAUGGUUGUUUAGUAAAUAAUCUAAAAAUUCAUGUUUUUUUUCAAAGUACAUAAUCCCACAUUGAAUCUCAGUUGAUUUCUAUAUAAUCAUAUACACAACAAUUUCGUGACAAUUAAUGUAGUAAAUGAAAUUUGAAAUUUUGACUUGUUUUCCAUGUUUGUUGUUUUAGUUUUUUUCUGCAGUGCCAAGUACGCAAGGAGUUGCUGCAACUGGUGGUCAUGAAAGUUUGUCAACUUUUGGUGGUAUGGAUAUCCCAAUUUGUGGCAUCGAACAAAAGUCCCCAUGGCAUACCACUGGGGAACACUAUUACCAGGGAAUGCUUGAACAGGGUGGGAGUGAGGCGUCUGAAGCACAAUACAACACAAACACACCACCAUUGUCGCACAGUGAUAAUCAGAUGAACUUAAUGCUCAGUGGGAGCAACAAAAGAGAUGGGGUUUCAGAAGCUGGAGUACAAGUUACUGAAAUGAAUGAUGUUACUAUUCCUGUUGAUCAAGACCACGAAAGUUUGCUGGCUAGGGAGAUGUUGAAGCGUAAUUAUAGUUCCUGGCUAUCCGGACUUUUUAACAAGGACAACAACAGUGUGGAAGUUGCACACUUCCAUGGUUUACAAGAAGCAUUGGACGAAACUCGUUAUGGGGAAACACCAGACUACCUCAAACGUAUCGCAACCCUAAUCGAAGUGGAUCGUGGAAAAGUUACUAAGUUUGGCCAUAAAAAUAUUGAAGUGCUGGUUUGUGCCGCAUUCAAAGAGAUGGAAGACUGGCGUACACCUAAGGAUUCCGGCUGUAACCAGUUGAAAAAGUGGGCCGCGACGCUCAAUAUGGGUAAGGAACAAGACUUUGAAGUGAAAUUUGCUGAUGACACGUUGAAUAAUAUUUGUCUUGCCUGUUAUGCUUCCUUAAUGAUCUAUGGAGGGGAUGGUUCAAUUCAGUUCAUACCAUUGGGGAACACUAUUACUAGUGGAAUGCUUCAAAAGGGUGGGCGUGAGGCGUCUGAAGCACAAUACAAUACAAACACACCACCAUUGUCGCACAGUGAUAAUCAGAUGAACUUAAUGCUCAGUGGAAGCAACAAAAGAGACGGGGUUUCAGAAGCUGGAGUACAACAAGGUACUGAAAUGAAUGAUGUUACUAUUACUGUUGAUCAAGACCACGGAAGUUUGCUGGCUAGGGAGAUAUUGAAGCGUAAUUAUAGUUCCUGGCUAUCCGGCCUUUUUAACAAAGACAACAACAGUGUGGAAGUUGCACACUUCCAUGGCUUACAAGAAGCAUUGGACAAAACUCGCUAUGGGGAAACACCAGACUACCUCAAAGGUAUCGCGGCUCUAAUCGAAGUGGAUCGUGGAAAAGCUACUAAGUUUGGCCAUAAAAAUAUUGAAGUUUUGGUUUGUGCCGCAAUCAAAGAGAUGGAAGACUGGCGUACACCUAAGGAUUCCGGCUAUAACCAGUUGAAAAAGUGGGCCGCGACGCUCAAUAUGGGUAAGGAACAAGAUUUUGAAGUGAAACUUGCUGAUGACAUGUUGAAUAAUAUUUGUCUUGCCUGUUAUGCUUACUUAAUGAUUUAUGGAGAGGAUGGUUCAGUUCAUAAGGUUGCGAGUGGAAGGGUGUGAUGCUCAUAUGUUUUUCUAUAUUUCUAUAAUUAGUUUUAUUAUAAGAACUCAGUGAAUGGUUUCGGUAUUCGAAUUCAGUGAGUUUGUAUUGUGUCAGGAAUGUUGUCUUUUAUAUAAAUUUUAAUGAAUUGGUAUGUUUUAUGUUUGUGUUAUUUCCUUUAUCUGGUUUAGGCUAGAAAAAUUGAAUGGUUGAUUAUAAAAUUUAUCAUUUCCAAGUAUUGAUAGCAUGUUUGAUCUUGGAUUGUAACAUUUGCGUUCUGGCUUUGAUGCUCGUCACCCUACAAUGGGUUAAUAUUUUGUCACAUAAUUUAUGGUGCAGGUGAAGUGUUCAACAAAAUAACAGAAAUUUUAACUAUAAAGAGUACGAUUUCUAGAAUUUCAUUCAUAAUGCAAUUCAUGGUAUUUGCAUUACAUAAUAUGGAGAGACAUUUGGGGUAAUUGAUAGCUCUAAAAUAUAGCUAAUUCUCCACAUAUGCACUAACAAUUUCUUUCCUCAGCUAAUUAGAUUUUUCUGUCAUUAACCCCAUGGCUCAGUUCCAAUUUCUCAGCUAAUUUCCAUCCUAGUUUCAACCAACUCCUAAACCUCUAUUGCUAGGUGGGGUAUCGGUGAUCUUUACUCGAAAAAUGAAUACAUUAGUCAUUUUUAUAAAAACAAUUAUUCAUUUCUAUUAUUAAAAACUAACAUAACAAAUGGAAUAAUCAUGCAAUUACACGUGGCGUGCCAAGUGUACCUCAUACUAACGUAUAAUGACUAAUUUUUAACAAUAAAAAAUGAAUGAAAUUUUUUAACAGAAUGACUAAUUUAAUCUUUGAUUUAACGUAUAUUGAUUAAUUUACCCAUGAGUAAAUCUAACUCCUGGUACAAAGACCUUCGUCACGGGCAUAGCCAGAGGGCUGGCAGACUCAGCUUCCCUUAAAAUGGAAAAUUUUUCAUUUAUAUCCUUUAAAUUUUUUAAAAUUUUAAAUUAGUAAAGAUAAAAUUUCACUUUAAUCCUCUUAAAAAUGAUAAAAAUUUGAUAGGCUAUUUUCAUCAUAAAUCCAUAACAAUAUCCUUGUCUCCAAAUGAUUUUUGUCAGUCUGAAAAUUGAGAUUUUUUAUAAUAUAAUCCUCCCAAGUAACAUUUUCAGAAAAACUUCUGAUUGUUUUAGAUUCAGAAAUUUGAUUUGAGUUAAAAUUUUCAGAUCCGUGAAAGAUGACGAAUUGGUCUAGUCUCAGAGGCCAUAGGGAUAUCGUUAUGAUACCCACACCUGGAGCGCCAAAUGGUGCUGAUGGACAACCAUCGACCGAUCAUUAUCAGGUGAAUUCCUCAAGCUCGAUGUUGAUCGGAGGAAAGAAAAGAAAUCAGAAAGCUAAAGGAAAUUAAGGCAUCAAGAAACAGUGCCUGCCCCUGGUAACCGGUGGAGAAGAGAGUGUGGGAGAACUUACUGUAGAGCAUAGUGGGAAAAAGUUAACUGACCAAAUCAACAGAAGGAGGAUGUGUAACGUAAAUUCUCUUAACUGAACUUAGCCAUUCACAUCAACCGAAGCAAAAACAAUGAGAAAGAUUUUCUCUGUCUCUUACUUUGACACUUGCUUUGUGUGUAUUUGAUGACAUAAGGGUGAAGGAAAAACACUGGGAUCUGCUAAGGAACUGUCCAGAAGUUAAAUCCAUCAUCAAUCAAAUUGAAGAGAAAUGGCCACUGCUAUCUGAUCUCAAAAAAAUUAAGGAGAAAAGGAGUGAAAUCCUAACCGAGUUCAAGGCAGGCCGUUUAAAAGAGGAUGGGGCGAUGCAGGAAUUGCUCGAACUAAAGGAGAGGCUCAGUCAUGUAGAUGGACAACUACAGGUGUGCUAAUGUUUACCAAUCGAAUUUCUGAGUUUGGUUUCAUGAUCUAAUUGUCCAAUUUAACUUUGGUUUUUCAGGAGUUGCACAAAGCAAACAACCUUGAGGUAAGCACAGUAACAAUAUAAUUACUAAGUUCGAUUUAACUUGGUUUUUCAGGAGUCGAACAAAGUAAAGAAACUUGAGGCAAUGUUCCUUAAAAAUGAGGUAAGCACAUUUCUUAUCAUUGAUAUUAACUAAUAUAGUAGGGCAUAGUACCAAUAAACUUGUUUUUAGACAUAGCAAAAAGUAUUUUUCUUCAGCUAUUUGUUUGGAUUCGGGUUUAGAGUUUAUGCAUUGGAUAUGUAUUUGUGUAUUUGAAAAUAUACCUAUAUUCAAAUAUGUGUUGAUACAUUCUUCAUUUAUAAAUUCAAUCUAAAUGUAAUAUGUUCCUUCAUCUAUUACAUUUCUUUUCUAAAUUUAGUAAAAUGUCAUUUUCAGUUAUAUUAAUUGGAUUCGAGUAUGAAUGUUUUUAGAUAGAUUCACGAUUUUAUACGGGUUCACGUUUAAUCUUGAUAUAUUUAAAUUUUUUUAAAUCAUAUAUUUUAGAAAACCUCGAAAGAUAUAUUUUAAACCAAUAUUCAUAAAUAUGUGAAACACCAAGUCACAUAGCUUGAAAAGACUAUAUAUGUUGAAUCAUAUUUCUUGAUGAAUUUGUUGUCUACCCUUAUCUUCUUUUUUCAGGUCUCAAUAUCUUAAAUUUUAAAAAGUAAAGGGAUGUUAAUGGUAAUUUUAUUAACCAAAAGUCAAAUGUGACACUUCCCUGGUGUUCUUUCUCUUGAUCCCUGGUGUUCUUUCUCUCGAUCCCUGGUGUUCUUUCUCUCGAUCCAACUUUUUAAUCGAGUUGCUUUCGACUUUAAGCCUCUAUUUAAUUGAGAACUUCUUCUCCAAUGGAUUUCAUCAUUUCUUCACCAUUAACGCAGCAGCAGCUCCUUCUCUUCUCUUCUCCACACUACAUCAAAGCAGUGAGUUGCUAUUUCAAUUCACUUAACUCAUUUCCCCUCACUUUCUGUACAUGUAUUGCUUUGAUUUUUGCUAAAUUUAUAAUUUCAUAUCCGUUAAGUUUUGUUAGUUUAUGAUUUUGACUUGCUUGCUUGUUUCUAUUUUUGUUCUGAAUUAGGAAAAUCUUUUGAUUGUUUUAGAUUCAGAAAUUUGAUUUGAGUUAAAAUUUUCAGAUCCGUGUAAGAUGACGAAUUGGUCUAGUCUCAGUGGCCAUAGGGAUAUCGUUAUGAUACCCACACCUGGAGCGCCAAAUGGUGCUGAUGGACAACCAUCGGCCGAUCAUUAUCAGGUGAAUUCCUCGAGCUCGAUGAUGACCGGAGGAAAGAAAAGAAAUCAGAAAGAUAAAGGAAAAGGAAGAGGCAUCAAGAAGCAGUGCCUGCCCCGGGUAACCGGUGGAGAAGAGAGUGUGGGAGAGCUUACUGUACAGCAUAGUGGGAAAAUCUACACUGACCAAAUCAACAGAAGAAUAUGUAAAGUAAUUUCUCUUAACUGAACUUACCCAUUCACAUCAACUGAAGCAAAAACCAUGAGAAAGAUUUUCUCUUGUCUCUUACUUUGACACUUGCUUUGUGUGUAUUUGGUGGCAUAAAGGUGAAGGAAAAACUUUUGGAUUGGCUAAGGAACUGUCCAGAAGUUAUAUCCAUCAUCAAUCAAAUUGAAGAGAAAUGGCCACUGCUAUCUGAUCUCCAAAAAAUUAAGGAGAAAAAUAGUGAAAUCCAAACCGAGUUCAAGGCAGGCCGUUUAAAAGAGGAUGAGGCGAUGCAGAAAAUGGACGAACUAAAAGAGAGGCUCAAUCGUGUAGAUGGACAACUACAGGUGUGCUAAUGUUUACCAAUCGAAUUACUGAGUUUGGUUUCCUGAUCUAAUUGUCCAAUUUAACUUUGGUUUUUCAGGAGUUGCACAAAGCAAACAACGUUGAGGUAAGCACAGUAACAAUAUAAUUACUAAGUUCGAUAUCCUCUUGAUCUAACGAUUUAACUUGGUUUUUCUGAUGUUGAACGAAGUAAAGAAACUUGAGGCAACGUUCCUUAAUGAGGUAUGCACAUUUCUUAUCAUUGAUAUUAACUAAUAUAGUAGGGCAUAGUACCAAUAAAGUCCCACGUCCUUAUCCACUAAACUUGUUUUUAGACAUAACAAAAAGUAUUUUUCUUCAGCUAUUUGUUUGGAUUCGGAUUUAUGCAUUAGAUACAUAUUUGUGUAUUUGAAAAUAUACCUAUAUUCAAAUAUAUGUUGGUACGUUCCUCGUUUAUCAACCUAAGCACAAUGUAAUAUGUUUCUUCAUCUACUACACUUCUUUUCUAGAUUUAGUAAAAAGUUAUUUUCAAUUAUAUUAAUUGGAUUCGAGUAUGAAUGCUUUUAUAUGGAUUCACGUUUAAUCUUGAUAUAUUUAAAUUUUUUCUAAAUCAUAUAUUUUAAAAAAUCUCAAAAGUUAUAUUUUAAACCAAUAUUUAUAAAUGUGUCAAACACCAACAUCAAGUCACAUAGCUUGAAAAGACUAUAUAUGUUGAAUCAUAUUUUCUUGAUCAAUUUGUUGUCUACCCAUAUCUUCCUUUUUAGGUCUCAAUAUCUAAAGUUAUCCUUAGACUUGCCCUUAUUUGCAUCUUUAAUAAUUUGUUUAUAUUUCUCCUAAAUUUCAGGAAUGUGACUUGGAAACUCUUGAAAAAGAGGUAUGGCAUAUAUAUAUAUAUAUGAAAUUGGUAGGUGAUGAUCGGUAGAUUUGAAAACUUGAAUUUCGAAAAUAGCAUUAGACAUAAAUAUUAUUUAUAAGUUUAAUAUUUUUUUAAUAUAGUACUCGUGUUAUUUUUGUGAUGCAUUUGAUAUCAUAUUUGACAAAAAAAUUAUAUGUUUAGGUACUAAAGGUAAUGCUGUUAAGUUUUUAGUGCUUAAUUCGGAUUUUAGAGAUGAUUUGAUAAAAUUUUAUAAUUAGCAAUUAAAUUUCAUCAAUUGACCAUAAAAUCCGAAUUAAAGAUUAAAAAGUUAACAUCGUAACUUUCAAGUACCAAAAUAUAUAAAUUUUGUCAAAUACAAGUAUCAAUUUAGACUAAAAAAUAACACAAAUUCUAUAUUGAAAAAAAGUGUCAAAUUCAAGUAUCAAAUUAUGUACCUUUUCAAAAUCCGUAAUAUGGAUUGUUUUAAAACUUCAUGUUUUUAUUUUUUUUAAGUACAAAAUCACACAUUGAAUCCCGCUUGAUUUCUACAUAAUCAUAUACACAACGAUAUUAUAAAAUUUUAUGUAGUAAAAGAAAUCCGAAACUACAAAAUCCAUAUUCCCAAAAAGGUAACACUAGUAUUAUCAUAUUUUUUAAAUUAUGAUAGUAAAAGUGUCAUAGAGGUGUGAGUUGGAUUACAUUUUGCCUCCUUACUCAAAAAAUGGGCAAAUUAAUCCUUAUAGUUAUAUCAAAGAGGAAAUUGGCAAUUCUAUUAAAAAUUUUAUCAAUUUCUAUUUUUAAAAACUAGCUUCUAUAUGCCCAUAUGAGGUACAUGUGGCGCGUCACGUGUCACUGUAUGGUUAUUUCGUUAGCCAUGUCAAUUUUUAACAGUACAAAUAAAUGGAAUUUUUAACCGAAAUGUCUGGUUUGCUCUUUGAUUUAACACAUAAUGAUUAAUUUGCUCAUUUUUUGAAUAGAGAGAGGAAAAAUACAAUUUCGCUCCUAGUAUAGGGCUCUCCACGGUACUUUUACUAAAUUAUGACAUGUUUUUUCGUGUUUCUUAUUUCAGUAUUAUUCUGUAUGUCCACAUAUGAAGGAAGUUGGUGUAUCGUCUAAAAUUAAUGAGUUGAAAAACGAAAUUAAUACCAAUAAUGACAACAAAGUGAAUGUUCGAGACUCCAUUGGCUUACAACAAGCAUUGAACAAGAAUUUCGACACUGGCAACGACACAUGGGUGAAGGCUGUUCAAGUCGAACCCCAUGAUAAUAAAGGUGAAGAUGUUGAAGGAGGUGAUUCGGUUCCACCUCCCGCUGAAGCUCCACCACAAUAUCCAAUUUUUUCUGCCGGAACUUCAGCUAUACUCAACGCACUUGGCUCUUUGAGAGAUGAUAUUAGUGGCAUCCGUGAUGAAGUUCGAGGCUUAGGUGCUAGGAUGUCUGCAUUGGAGGAACGUAUUGCUCAUCUUCCGUUUCAAUUCUGUCCACCACAGCCUCCUCAAGAUAGCUAGGACUCAUUUUGCAUUCAUGGAUUUCCAUGUUUUAUUUGGAUGUUUUAUAUUGUUUUGCUUACUAUUCUGAGAUCCUUAAAUGUUUAUUUUCUUAUUUCAAAUGUUACUUCAUUACUUUUUUGCUUAUAUUAUUGGACUAACCAUUUUCCUUCUCUUUAAGCUUUACUUUGAUUUGUUUUGAUAUAUCAAAAAGGGAGAAAAAAGUAAAUUUGUUGAUAAUUAAUUUCUACAAUUUUAUGACCAAUUUUCAAAAAACAAAAUCGAGUCUUUAAUUGAAAUUGAUUUUUAAAAAGGGGAAUACUUUAUUCAAAAAAACAAAAUUUAUCAAAAUAUUUUGUUAUAUUAAAAAGGGGAAGUUGUUAAGUUAAGUUUUAAUUUGAUAAAGAUUUUAAUAUAACAAAUAUAAUAUUUUUGAAAUAAAAUUCGAUAAAUUUUAUUUGUAAAUUUUAUUUGUAAGAAAUAAAAUUUUAAAUCUAAUACUAGUGCUUCGAGUUCCGAGAUGUGAGUCGGAAAUGCCACUUCACAGCCACAUAACUAAUUUAAGGAGAUGAUGGAAUAAUCGAAUUAACUGAAAUUAAUAUAUAUUUUAAUAAAACAUGAGCAAGGUUUUUAUUAAUUCAAAGUAAGAAUUUAUACAACAAACUAACCAAAAAUAACUCAGGCCCAAAGCAAAACAAAUCUAACCCAGGCCUAAAAUAAAAACCACAAAUUAAUAAAAGGAAACUAAAAAGAAACAGACUUAAUAAUAAACAACAUUAAUCACCAAGUCUAGAGGUGCUCAUAGGCUGGGCCGGGCCCAAAAAAUUUGGCCCAUGUCCCUGGCUCGGCCCGAAAUAUGGGCCUAAAAUUUUAUCUAGACCCAGCCCGAGAAAAAUUCCUAAAUCUGAGUACGGCCCGGCCCAUUUUUAAUAAACACCAAAAAUUUAUUUUAAAAAUAAAAAAUAAAAAAAGUAUUUUAAAAAUAUUUUAAAAUUAAAAAAAUUAAAAAUAUAUAUUUAUUAUAUUCGGGCCGAGCCGGGCCAAGCCUAGGCUAAAAAAGUUGUGCCUGAGGCCCGGCCCAUUUUCUAAACGGGCCUCUUUUUUUUGCCCUAACUCAUAUUUCGGACUUAUAUUUUUAUCCGAACCCUCUCAUAUUUCGAGCAAGACGGCCCCAUGAGCACCUCUAUCGCCCACUCCCUUGAGAAUCGGAUAGCCCGUAACACCCAACAUCUACAACAACUUUUCCUAGACUGUUCCCAUUUCCCCUUAUCACAAAACUCUUCCUCUACCUUCUUCUUCAGAUCUGUUAGAUUCACCACGUUUAUUUUUAGAUUAAAAUAAGUAUAAAACUUAAUAAUUUUCAAUUUUUCUUAACAGUUCAAAAAACAUAUUACAUAUUUUUAUUAAUAUAAAAAAUAAUAGUUCAAAAAAUACUUUGUCAAUAUAAAAAAAUAUUAUUUAUAUAUAUAUUAUUUAUUUUGAUUAAUUCGAUUAAUUACUCGAUUUCUAACUGAAUUAAUCGAUAAACAAAAUUCCAAAAAAUUAUUAACCAACCUCUGACCAAAUUAAAUUUGAUCACCGAUUGAUUAAUUUAAUUUUAACCAAAUUAUAAACCCCUAAGAACCAGAGUGGGAUCCGAAGAUACUGGAUCUACCAUAAUUUUCCAAUGCUUUUCCCCCUACAAUCUCUUAAUCUUCUUACAAUAUUCACAUGUUCGACAACUUUCCUACAUCUUCUGUUCUAAUUUGUCUUCCCAAUUCUCGAUUAUCAUAAAUUAAAAAGCUUGUUAUCCUCUUAUUUUUGCUUCUUUGCAUUCUAACGGUCAAGUUCAUUUUAUGGAUGUAAAAAUAUAAACUAUUUAAUUAAUAUAAUUCUUUAUAAUAUCGUUUUAUGUUUGAUAAUUAUAUUGGACUUCAAUUAAAUCAAAAGUCGAGUUAGAUAAAAAAAAACUAAAAGGCAGAACUUUUUUAAAAAAAAAUUUCAAUUGGUUCAACGUUAUAUUUCAUCCGUAAAUAAGAUGAUAAUUUUUAGAAUUAUAUGACUCAAAUCUCGUCAUUUGUUAAAAAAAUAAAAUAGAGAGACAAAAUUAAAAAUUCUGAGAGGACGAACAGUCGAGGGUUGAAUUAGUAUAGGACUACUAUACUUUUUCUAUUAAACAUUGAUUAUAACAGACUUGUUUAACCCUUAAAUAGAUGUAGUCGAACUCCUCUUGUAUUGUGUGUUUUUCAACAUAAUGAAUUUCUCCUCCUUUACCCGUAGUUUUUUCGAUAAGUAUUUUUCACGUAAAAUCUAUAUUUUCUCAUUUUAUUUUCUUAUUACUUUGCGAUCAUUUCUACUACUAUUGUCGACGUGGAUUAUAACAAAACUAAAGUAAAGAAUUCACAUUUCUUUUGUGGGAUGUAAUUGAAAACAAAUAACAUAUUUUUAAAAUUAAAAAGUAAAAUAAUGGAGUGUGCAUAAGCCAAAGAAGAUUUUUGUCUCACAUCUAAUAUCCUAAUGCUUGAUUCUUGCUGACAGUAGACAUCGAACUUUGCAAAACAUCUGGGGGAGGGGGCGGUAACUCCUCAAUCUUCAUAAACAAUCGAGGCACGUAAUUGCAUUUUAAUAAUAAUGCUUCGUAUCUCAGAUUAUUUAUUAUUAACACCUCGUCAUUAGUAUUAAACUAUUAUUAUUGUUAUUGUAGAUUGAAAUUUAGUUCAUUUGGAAUGUGAGUUCGAGUAUGUUGAAACUAUUAUUUUUUUAUUUGUGGCUCAAAAAAAUAUUAUAAAUAAUAUUAGACAUUAUAUCAAAAAAAUAAAAAAUUUAAUUAUUAAUUCAUUCUUCGUAAUAAUAGGUAGAAAACACGUGCGGAUGCCUUAAAAGGACAAAAUAGGAUGAGAUUAGAGUAAUUAUAUGACAUGCAAAAUGUGGACAUACUUGGGCAAUUAAUGACAUGAUUUAAGGGUCACAAGCCCUUAUUGCAUCCUACUCAUUGGUCUUUUCUCAUCUCUUUCAUCAAAGUAAAAUAAAUAAAAAUAGUAAGAGCAAGAAAGGAAUCAACAACAAUAUCAAUGAAUUUGUUGAUUCAUUUUAGGUGUUGUUAAUAUUUAUCGGAAAAUUUAUAAGUACUUAAGAUAAUGAUAAUGAAUAGUUGAAGAAGAGUCAAAACAGGCUUGGUAUCAUGACAUGUAGGUACGGAUCGUCGGGACAAUGUGAUGUAAACCCCAGGCAAAUGCGGCAUUGACAUCAUGACAAGAAAAGUCGGCACAUCAGGAUGUGUUCUCCUAUUUAAUAGUCACGGUUUAAACUUCAAUUAGAACUGUUUCUCUCAAUUAAACGCUGAUUAUUACAGGGAUAUUUUAGUAUGAUUAAAACUCUAAUUUAAACUUAUUCAAAUGGAUCAUUGUAUCUCUACCUUGACAUGCCUAUCAACAAUGACUUUUCUUUUUAGGAGCGACAAGAUAUAGUUGCAAACAAGCUUUUUGUAAGAAUUUCAUGGUAACUAAGGAGAUAGUUUUGUUCUUGAGUUAGGACUUUGUUUUAUGGGUUUUGAGUUUGUACGUUUAGUAUAUAUAUAUUUAUUUUCUCUAUAUUGUAUUUUUGUUUAUUUAUUUAUUUAGUGAAAAAUAUAUACCUUUUUUACCUGUGAUUUUUUCCUCUUUGAGGAUUUUUUACGAAAAAUAUUUGUGUCUAUUCCUCUCCAUUUUUGCUAUCUCUUUGUUUAUACAAAUCGAUUCCCAACCAUCCAAGAAAGAAAACGAAUCAGUUAAAACAAGAAUUGGGACCAAAGUAUACCACCAACAUUGUCCCUUACUAACACCAAAAGAAAAAAGAAAGCAAGUUAUGAAAAAUAUAAUUUUUUUAUGUGCAUAAAUAGACCAAAAAAAAUUAUCGGUCAAAUAAAUUAAUUUUUAAAAAAAAUUUUUUAGAGAAUAUGAGAAAAUUCGUUUCAUUGGGUACACUUUCUCUUUGAAUCAUAUUUUCUCUCUAAAAGUGAGCUAUUUUCUUAAAUUUAAAAAAAAACCACUUUAUUUGGCAUGUGAUCAUGUUGGCAUCGAAAUCUACAGCAGUGAAUGCCUGCCCACACCGUAAUAAAUUCAACCCCCAAUUAUUAUAAAAGAAUGCAAACAGCAUACUGUCCAUUGCUUGCUAAUUGUCAUCACAAGUCACGUGACCAUGCAUGACCUUGUUUAUUAGGUGGAUGAUGGUGAUGAUCACAUGCAUCAUACGAUACAUACAUCUUAAGAACAGUAAAAGAGCAGAAAAACAGGGAGAUUUUCCCUAAAGAAUUAAAAGUGAUAAAAAGGGCAUUAAGAAAAGGUAAAGGCGAAGGAAUCGUAGACCGUAGAAGAAAGUCAGUGGUUAUAUCGUAAUUUAGUAGAGCCCUAGACCCAAAUGUUGAAGGGAAUCCUGUUGUAAACGCCAAAAAUUGAAGAACCCUUCACUAAUACGUUGCCCAAUCGCGGCGCUUCGUUCAUACCAAAAUAGAGAAGCGGACAUAAGAAGCUCUAUCCCCUCUCUCACUUAAGGCGUGUGUUCAACACGCCAUCAACUAGACCAAUCCUAAGGCGGCAUGCGAGCGUGGAUACACAAUAGCGAGUGAGAAGUGUUAGUUAAAAAACCCCGUGCAAAAAAAAAAAAAAUUAGGGCAGCGAAACAUGAUCCGCAUGAGAUGGGAAGAUUGGUAGUUGAUUUGAGAGAGAAGGUAAACUAAUAAAUAUUAAUUUUUUCCUCAAUUUUAGGAAAAUAGGAUAGAAUGAGAAAAAUCUGAUUCGAUUUGAAAAAUUUGAUAAAAAUUUAAAAUUUUAAUUAAAUAAUUUGAGUUUUUCAAGGUAAUUAAAUUAUUUAGAUCAACUCGAAUAAAAAAUUAACAUUUUUUAUUUAAUUCAAAUAUAAAUUAUACAAUUUACAAUAUUCAAAAAUUCGAAUAAAAAAAUAAAAUUACGUUAUUUUAAUAAAUAUUUUUUUCUAAAGUUAAAAUUCAAAACUAUUAAAUUAAAUUUCCCAAAAUCACUUCUAAAAAAUAAUAAAGAACUAGCCCUUAAUCUGUUAGUCGGUCUUUUUACACUGUUUUUCACUCUGGUGGUGUGCUCUAUAUUACUGUUCGAAACAAUGCGAUAAGAGGCUAUUCUUGCUGGUUUUUUCUUAGGGGUUUAGUGUUCGAGAGAGAAAAAUCAGAGCCAUAGAUUUCUAAUCCUUUUUUCUUCUUUUUCUUCUGCUAGAUCUAGCAGUAUCGAAUUCGAUUUUCUUUUGUUUUCGUUUUGGGUUCUCUUGAGAAGGCAAAACGGUAGAGAGGAGGCUUUGUUGAGCGUGUCUAAGACCACCCUAUUCAUGCAUCAAAUGAUUGCCACUUACUUCAUUCAGUGAGUCCUAUAUAUAGUCCUUUUAACACUCUUUGCUCUCUGCAUUGUUUAAGCAAUGUUCUCUCCAGCUUCACUACUUUCUUUGAGUUCCCUCUACGUUCUUCUGGUUUUAUUAUCAUGUUUCUUUGGAGGGGUUUCUUCUGUUCCCACUAAGGUUGGAAAAGGGUACCGUUUGAUCUCAGCUGAGGAGACCUCUGAUGGUGGCUUUUUGGGUCACCUUCAGGUCAAGCAAAAGAACAACAUUUAUGGUCCUGAUAUUCCUCUCUUGCAACUUUAUGUCAAGUAAGUCAUCAGUCUAGUUUUACUCUUAAUCUUUGCCACUUUUGCAUUUACAUUCCUCUUAAUCAAAAUUUCUUCCUUUUUUUGUUUCUAAAGGCAUGAUACGGGAGAUCGUUUGAGGGUACACAUAACAGAUGCUGAGAAGCAGAGAUGGGAAGUUCCGUAUAAUCUUUUACCAAGGGAACAACCACCCGCAUUGAAGCAAACGAUUGGGAGAUCAAGAAAGAACCUUUUAACAGUGUCGGAGCUUGCAGGGUCUGAGCUCAUAUUCAGCUUCACAGCCGACCCUUUUAGCUUUGCGGUGAAAAGGAAAUCAAAUGGGCAGACCCUUUUCAAUUCCAGCUCUGGUGGGUCGGACUCAUUCGGAGAAAUGGUGUUUAAGGACCAGUACUUGGAGAUAUCCACACAGUUGCCUAAAGAUGCUUCACUGUAUGGACUUGGAGAGAACACUCAACCGCAUGGCAUUAAGCUGUAUCCCAAUGAUCCUUACACGUUAUACACAACCGAUGUGUCGGCUAUUAACCUCAACACUGAUUUGUACGGAUCCCACCCUGUUUACAUGGACUUGAGGAAUGUGGGUGGUGAGCCAUUUGCACAUGCUGUUCUCUUGUUGAACAGCAAUGGCAUGGAUGUGUUUUACAAAGGGAAUUCAUUGACAUAUAAGAUUAUUGGUGGUGUUUUUGACUUUUACUUCUUUUCUGGCCCCACUCCCCUUGACGUUGUUGAUCAGUACACCUCUUUUAUCGGCAGGCCUGCUCCCAUGCCUUAUUGGUCUCUAGGUAUGCUUUUCAUUUUCUCACUUGCAUUGCAUUAGGUUUAAUGUUUUCCUAUUUUGUUUCAAGUAUUUGUUUAUGUUCUUCACUGUGGAAAUUGUGCUGGGUUUAAUAGAAAAAAAGCCUCAAGCCAAAUCUAAUGGAAUUGACUCAAAAACAAUCUUUUAUGAUACGAUUAAUAUUCCCUUUUUUAUACGGAAAAAGGUUAGAUUUUGAUGAUAAAUGUUGCAUUAAAUAAACCAUAUGCUGCAUAAUGUUGAAUCAUUAUAGGGCAAUAUGUCGGUGUAAGACAACACCACAGAUUUAAAUGUGAUGAGGAUGGACGAUUAGGAGAUGUAGGGAAACCUGGGCCACUUGAUUUAUAUCUUGUUGGCCAAUGUAGACCCCUGAUAUGAUCCAUUAAUCAAUCAGCUUAAGAUGAAGAUAUUUUGUUCCCAUUUUAAUAUGGUUAGGUGGAUUGGUCCCAUAUCACAUUUUACUUUAUUUUCUUUGUUUAAAGUCCCCAUCAAUAUGUGUCUAAUAAUUAUGCAGAACCAACUUUCUAGAUCUAAGAGAUCUUUUUUCUUUAAUCAAUGAUGAAAUGACUUUAGGCACUUUAGGUCUUUAAUUGUUAGAUAAAUAAUUUAGUAAAAGCCCCCAUGAGGCACUGUGUUUUUUCCUCAUAUUUUACCAGUUUUCUCCUAUAUAUAUAUAUUUCAUCUUGACUAUGUGAGUUAGAUAGAAACCAAAUGGGCACUGUGACAUCUUAUCAUAAUGCUUUGGGCAAUUAAUUAUUAGGCCCUGAUUUGAUGCUAACCUUAAGUGCACCCUCAAGUAGUGUGUCUGGUGUCCACACAUGGUCAGUUUAUGGUCCCUAGCCUAUGGGGUAUGUAAAGUGAACUUUUGUGUGCUACCUUCAUGUUAUAGCACCUUUUGUGUCGGUAGAUGCAUGAUCAAAGUUAAAAACUAGUACUUUUCCCUCGACAAAGGUACCUUUUAACGUAUAAUAAACAGGUACGACUCACUUGUGAGGCUUGUGUUUUUUACAAUGCUUGGGCAAACAGAGCAUACAUGUGAUAUAUUAUAUAUCCCCAUGAUCUUGACUGACGAGUUUGUAUUAUGGCAAUAGCAUGUGGAGUUGUCACUGCUUGUCAUGGAUUAUAGGUAGAAUAGUAAUAUAUUUACUUGAGUUAUAGAGGAAUCCUCGCAUUUAUGUCUUGUCAUUUCGAUGCCAUCAUGAACUUUUGCUGUAGUGUUUCACCCCAAUACUUGAUAUGGUCUUCUUUUCUCAGUCUUGUGAAAAUGGAACCAAGUUAAAAGAAGUGAACAACAUAUAUAAUAUUGGUUAUUAGAUUUUGUUUUUGUGUAACGUUAAGCUUCCUCUGACUGGUUUAGAGAUACUCAUAAGAGGAGGAUGCUUGAAGAUUAUCUUAGUAUCUUACCAUGACGUUGAGAUGAAUAAAAUAUAAUCAUUUUUCUCUUUGUUUCUAUAAAUUUGAUUUACAGGGUUUCACCAAUGCCGAUGGGGUUACCAUAACCUCUCUGUAGUUGAAGAUGUAGUUGAGAAUUACAGGAAGGCUCAGAUCCCACUUGAUGUGAUCUGGAAUGAUGAUGAUCAUAUGGAUGGCCAUAAGGACUUCACCCUCAACCCCGUAAACUACCCUCGUUCUAAGCUUCUUGCAUUCUUGGACAAAAUACAUAACAGAGGCAUGAAAUACAUUGUCAUUAUUGAUCCUGGAAUUGGUGUUAAUUCCAGUUAUGGUGUAUACCAAAGAGGCAUUGCCAAUGAUGUAUUUAUCAAGUAUGACGGUGAGCCUUACUUGGCCCAAGUGUGGCCCGGGGCUGUUAAUUUCCCGGACUUCCUCAACCCUAAAACUGUUGCAUGGUGGGGUGAUGAAAUCAGACGUUUCCAUGAACUGGUCCCUGUUGAUGGUCUCUGGAUCGACAUGAAUGAAGCUUCGAACUUCUGUUCUGGGAAGUGCACGAUACCGAAAGGCAAGCAGUGCCCGAGUGGGACUGGCCCUGGUUGGAUUUGUUGCUUGGACUGCAAGAACAUAACAAAGACGAGAUGGGACGAUCCACCAUACAAGAUCAAUGCUUCAGGCUUGCAGGUACCUAUUGGGUUCAAAACUAUUGCCACUAGUGCAGUUCACUACAACGGUGUUCUAGAGUACGAUGCUCACAGUCUUUACGGCUUUUCACAAGCCAUAGCAACUCACAAGGCACUCCAAGGGCUUGAGGGAAAACGGCCAUUUAUAUUGUCACGAUCUACAUAUGUUGGUUCGGGAAAAUAUGCUGCUCAUUGGACAGGUGACAAUAAGGGCACUUGGGAAGAUUUGAAGUAUUCUAUAACUACAGUGUUGAACUUUGGUAUUUUUGGGGUUCCAAUGGUUGGUGCAGAUAUAUGUGGGUUCUAUCCUGCCCCAACUGAAGAGUUGUGUAACCGUUGGAUUGAAGUCGGUGCUUUUUACCCUUUCUCUAGGGAUCAUGCAAAUUACUAUUCUCCAAGGCAGGAGCUUUAUCAAUGGAAGACUGUAACCAAAUCUGCUCAAAAUGCACUAGGUAUGAGGUAUAAACUUCUUCCUUACCUCUACACACUCAACUAUUUGGCUCAUAAAAGCGGAGCACCAAUAGCCAGGCCACUUUUCUUCUCAUUUCCUGCUUACAAGGAGUGCUAUGGGUUGAGCACCCAAUUCUUGCUCGGAAGCAGUCUUAUGGUGUCUCCAGUGCUUGAGCAGGGGAAAACAUCAGUCAAAGCACUCUUCCCACCCGGUUCUUGGUACAAUCUCUUUGAUAUGACACAAACAAUAGUGUCAAAGGGACAGUACUUCAUGCUCGAUGCGCCGUUGCAUGUGGUCAAUGUACAUUUGUAUCAAAACACCAUACUACCAAUGCAGCAAGGAGGAAUGAUCUCCAAGGAAGCUAGAAUGACACCAUUUACUCUUAUAGUAACCUUCCCUGCCGGGGCUAGCGAAGCACAAGCCAAAGGCAACCUUUAUCUCGACGAUGAUGAGCUUCCAGAAAUGAAACUCGGAAACGGGUAUUCAACAUAUGUUGACUUAUACGCCACAUUGAAGCAGGGAUCGGUGAAGAUCUGGUCAGAAGUUCAGGAGGGUAAGUUUGCUUUAGACAAAGGUUGGAAAAUUGAGAAAAUAACAGUGUUGGGAUUGAGUGGAAGUGUAGACACGUCUGGACUUGAAAUUAAUGGAAGUCCAGUAGCCAAUGGAGCUUCCAACAUAGAAUUGAGCUCAAUGAAACAGAUGCAUUUGCAGGAUGUUGAAGAUGGGGUUGGCAAGAAGAAGUCUUUAAUGGUGGAACUUUCAGGCUUGAAUUUAUAUGUUGGAAAGAACUUUGACAUGUCCAUGAAAAUGGGGGUACAAGGUUGAUGAUUAUGGUGUUAUGUACUAUUUUUUUUUCCAUUUUCAUUGUUGAUGGUUUACUGUUUGUCUUAAUUGGGGGGGGGGGUUCGUCAUGGUGAAGCGAUGAACUUUAACUGCAACAGUCAUCCUUCUCCAUGCCAAAAGAACGGGGGUUCAAAUCUUGAUUGGUGCCUUGGUGGCAGUAAUGGAAAUUUGAUGAUAUAAUUUCAGUUGUUUUUUAAUUCAGGACAGAUCUUGGGUUUGGGCUCAAAGUCUAUUGGGCUAAAUGAUCAAUCCGAUGAACACAAAUAAAUCCCGUUAUUAUGCGUAAUGAUCCAAUAUCUGUGAAAAAGUUGCUUGUUUGCUUUGCUGCUCGAAUGGACUUUGAAAGGCACCAAAAAAGAAAAAGACAUAUUUUUCAAAAGCCCAAUCAACCGAUGAAGAUCAUCGGUUUUCAAACAGGAGGGUAAAUUUGCUUUAGACAAAGGUUGGAAAAUUGAGAAAAUAACAGUGUUGGGAUUGAGACAUUGAGUGGAAGUGUAGACACGUCUGGACUUGAAAUUAAUGGAAGUCCAGUAGCCAAUGGUGCUUCCAACAUAGAAUUGAGCUCAAUGGAGCAGAUGCAUUUGCAGGAUGUUGAAGAUGGGGUUGACAAGAAGAAAUCGUUAAUGGUGGAACUUUCAGGCUUAUGUUGGAAAGAACUUUGGCAUGUCCAUGAAAAUGGGGGUACAAGGUUGAUGAUUAUGGUGUUAUGUACUGUUUUUUAUUCCAUUUUCAUUGUUGAACAGUAACAGUGUUGGCAUGUCCAUUAAUGGUUUUUACAAGCUACGCUACAGGAAAGCUUUGAAAUCUAUGCCCUUCGAAUCACCGAAGACAAAAAAAUCUAAAGCUCGUAUAUUGUACCUACAUUUAUGGUUGCUGAAAGGGGAAUAGAUCAUUUCUUCAUUUUCUUUUAGGUAUUUACAGGGGACGCCUUUGUUUUGAUAGUGAUGAUUAGCUUGUGUGAUCAGUUAGGUGGUAGAGUGGUUGUUAGGACAUUUUCUUUGUUGAGAUAGUACGAAGAUGGUAUAUUUUAGUGGUCCUCUCUUGGAGAUAAACGCGUUUUUGCUAAAAAGUGGAUGAUUUGUUAGAAGAUAAAGCGUAUUAGUCGGAUGAUGUGAGGCGGAGGGCCAUCUAUGAAUGCCUUUCAAGUAGUUUCACGCCAUGUCACGUGUUCAAGCCAAGUAGGGUUAUAACAAUUAUUUAUUAAAUGUUUAUUAAAACUUUAAUAUAUAAUUGUAUAUAAUUGUUAAAAUAAUUAUAAUUACUUUAUUGAUUAAAUGUUUUUAUUAAAUCAAACGAUAAAUGAUUGUGUUAAAUUAUGGUUAUGAUCUCUCUACUAUGUUUAAAUAUAAGAUUCAAUAUUUAUAUUUAAUUUCACGUAAUUUAGUUUUUUUUACUUUUAUAAUCGUAUUAAAUAGCCCACGGUUUUGAUUACUCUUGUUAAAAUACUGAUGCGAAUUUUAUUUUUAAAAAUACUCAUUUGAACUUAUUUUUUUCGUGUAUUAGAAAAGUGUUUUAAGAGUAAUUCACAUCAAUAGUUUAACAAGAAUAUUAAAGAUACUAGUUGGGGUUAACUAAUGUCAUUGUAAAAAUAAAGGGUCAUGUUAUAUCAAAUUAAAAUAUAAGGACUAAAUCUCGAAUUUAACUUAAAAUAUAUGUCACAAAUUUUAUACAAAUUCUUUCAUUUUUAUAAAUGAUUGAUCCAAAUUUAUUUAUCCCUAUACAUAAUUUUUGCUCAAACUCAAUAAAUUUAUACAAAAAGGCUUAUAAAAAUUGGAUGAACUGUAAAAUUGGAAAAAUUUUGGGUACUAAAGUGAACAUUGAAGUCAAACUCGGUAAAGAACUGGAAAAAAAUAGGGAGGUUAAGUACCAAACUGAAUAUUUAAAUCAAAACAUGUACCAUAUAGUAUAUUAUCCCUUUCUAAUUUAACUGGUUUUUACUUAGUUAAAUCGCCCUUACUCAUUGUAGCUGGUUGUAUUUCUUUCUCCGAAUCUGAUCCAAGCCGAUAUUUAACCUUUAAGCAGACAUCGAGACAAAACAUUUUAAAGCUUAGGACUAUUUAGAAUCUGACUAAUAGUUCGGGGACUGAUGAAAUUAACCAUCUUAUUAAAACCCUACCUCAAUAAAUAGCUUCAUUUCCUUAGUUUACUCUUUGGCAGCUGCACCUUCUCCCCUCUCCUCUACCUGUGAGUACUACUGAAAUUUGCAGAAUUUCUUUUAAUUGGUUCUAUUUCGUAAUCAUUGAGCUUCCUUAGUUUAUAAUUUUUUAUAUCACUUAUUUGAAAAAAAAAAAAACAUUUCGGUGUUGUUGAUUUGCUUGCUCUAUGAUUUUCAUUUGACUAUUUUUCCCGAUUCAUCAUCUGAUCUGAGUUAAAUUUCCCAGAUCUGUACAAAAUGGUAAACAAUGGCAGUUUUUUGAAUAACACGGAUUGGCCUCUUAGCAACAAUUAGGGUUUUGAUGUGGGAACUACGAUUGGAUCUUCAACAGCUUGGGGGCGCAUCUGAAGGACAGAAUGACGAACGAACUUCCAUUGAUAACCGAUGAACUUAGUGUUGGGAGGAAGCAAGAUCGUUUCCUGGUUUCUUUUUCUUUUUGCUUCCGUCGGUGAGAUAGUUCGUCUCCUCUGUACUUUAGAUGCCUCCUUCAUGCUGUUUGUAGGUCUACUGAUCUCCAAGAACAAGUUCAUUGACUUCAUUUUAGCAGAAGCUGAGUCGAAGUGGAGAUUGUUUGAAAAGCACUAGAAGUUUAAACAAUUUGAUCUACAAUGAUUAGAGGUAUUUGAUGUUUAAAUUUCAAACUUGAUUACUUAAGUUUGAUUUCUUUAUAUAAAUAAUCAUUUAACUUUCUAAUUGACGUAAUUUUUCAGGAGUUGAAAAAAGAAGAAGCUAGAGAGCUAUGCAACCUUCAAUAAUAAUAUUGUAUGCACAUUAUACUAUAAACCCUUCUUAUUUAUAAAUCACACUAGUACUUUGGUUUGGUUGUGGUGAGUUUCGAAUAAGGAUUGAUGCCCAACACAUGCAUGUUCAACUUUUUUAGUUCUUUUAGUUUUCUUAAUGUAUUUAGAAGAAUCUUUGAUGGUCAUAUUCGAUACCCGUAUCACAGUAUGCGUCAAACAGACACUUUAAGCAAACUGUAGAAUCCAAACAACCAAGAAGUUUAAUGUCAGACCUAAUAACCUAAUGUUCAGGACUCUCCCUGCUUCUCCAAUUCUGCAUGGACUUUUGCAUUGAAAACUGUAUAUAUUGUUAGAGUCCUUCUAAGCACUAUAUAUAUACAAGCUUUUGCAUGUUUAUACGUUUGAAGCUACAAACUUGAAAAUGCAUGUCUUGAUCUCUGUUUUUUUGCCGUAUAUAUCCUACAUCAAUGCCUUGAGUCGUUCUUAGAGCCCUUAAGAAGAGGGGUAUGAUAUACAUGAAUACAAAUUUUUAUAUUUAUGCAUUGGAAAAUCAUGAUCAGAGCCAACUUAAUGGCAAUGACAAAAAAAAGUGAUCUGGAAAAUCAACCUUGAUUAAUUUGUGGUGCAUCUGUAUCUCUGAUGCAUCUCUGUCUUCUGCACUAUCAAGGGUUCUUAAUUUCUCAAGUUAUCAGUCUGGGGUUGCCUUUCUGCAUGGUUCUUCAUUUCGAUCGUUUAUUAAUAUUCUCGUACAUUUCAAGGGUUGGCAACUAGACUCUGAAAAAAUGAGGUAUCGAUGUAAUUUCUCUAUUACAAUAUAUAUAUCGCUUCGAACUUACAACACUUGCCUAUUUUUUGUUGUUUUAGCUCUCUGCAGCCUUUCCAUGGUUUUGUUCAGAAGAAUCUGCUACUAAUGAGCCUAUUACACCUGAUCAAGAUCAAGGAGAUUUGCCCCUAACAAUUGAAGAAUGAAAAUGCUAAUUUUGAUUAUUUGCCCAAACAACUUUGUGGAAGGGACAUCGCCAAAGUGGAUGUUUCAGAUUUCAAAGGCUUUAAAUGCGUUGAAAAACACUCAACGGGGGGAAUUCAGAAUCAGAAAAGGUUGUGGUAAACCUAUUGAGGGCAAAUUCUUCCUUGCUUUUGAAAAAUAUCUUUGAAAAGUGUUGUGAAAAAUUACUUUUGAAAAGUGUUGUGCAAAAUUAUUUUUGAGAAGUGUUUUUGAAAAGUUUAGUUUAAAGUUUGAGUGCUUAACAUUGCUGUCAAAAAGUAUUUUUGAGAAAUAAAAAGUUCAUUUUAGACAUGUUAUUAUUAAGUAAUAAAUAUAUAUUUAAAUAAUAUUUAAAUUAGUUAAUAUUAUUAUAUUUUAGUAAGAAUAUAAAAAAUUAUUAUAACUUCUUGUUAAUAUUUUAACAUAUGAAAUAUUAUUUUUAAUUAAUGAUUUUAACACAUUUGUAAUUAAGUAUCAAAAAAAUUUAUGUUAUUAGAGGGGUGAAAAAGUAAUUAAGCACUAAAAGUAUUUUUGGAAGAGGAAAAUUUAAAAUUUUUAACUUAUCUCUCUCAGAAGAAUUUUUGAAAAGUAUUUUUGAAAAGUUAAAAAUUUCAGUUAAAAAGAAAAGUACUUUUGAAGUAAAAAGCUUUUUUUUAAAGCAAUGAAGAAUUGCCCUAAUUUGUCACAAAACAGUAUCUAUGUUCUGGUCCAUCCUAGCGUGCCAAUCUGGACUGCAUUCGAUAGGCGUAAAAAGCUUGGCUUUGAAGUCGAAUUGCUGAUAUUCUUUUAGAGAAAAACUGUUAUGCCCUUUUUGCUUUUGCAGAUUAUAUCAAAUGAGACCAAGAAAAAAGGGAUUCUGAAACCAGGUGUGGCUAAGCUCAAGGUUUUGAUCAAAGGUGCAAUACGCUUGAGCUUGAUUGGCAUUUCCCAAAAAAAACGAGCUUGUUUAUUAGUAGGGUAUAAUCUAGGUCGAGUUAAAAGGGGUUAGAAGUUAAAGUUUGAGCUUGAUUUAACACCCCCCCCCCUUUGAAACCGUGGUUAAAGCUUCUCCCCUUCCUCAACUUUACUAAAAACUCAUACUUUAUAUAAAAUUUAAGCUUCUUUCAACUUUUGUUCUAGAAAAUGGACGCUUUGAUUUUACGUCCACUCUGCCCUCGAGUUUACUUGCUAGCUAGCUUCAAGUCGUGUAUAUAAAGGUGAAUGUAUUUGAGACCUCUCUUUAUUAUAGGAAUUUAAUUAAACUAGUC
rnacentral:lncRNA from 1 species